GGUAACAGAAACUAACACUGAUAUUGCUAUGUUCAGUUUUUUAACUUCCAUUUUGCCAAGUCCAGUUAUCUCGGCAUGCACGUUCAUAAGUAGCUUGCCAUGAAUCCACUGACCAAAUAGUGUCUGAAAUCUGAAUUGACUGCAGAGUACGGCGAGGGUCGCGCUGUCUCAACUCUUGGAGAUGUUUACAGCCUCGGCAUACUGUUGCUUGAGAUGUUCACCGGGGUGAGCCCUACUGACGACAUGUUCAAAGACUCCUUGGACCUUCAUAAGUUCGCCGAGGCCGCUCUCCCGGACAGAGCCUUGGAGGUAGCCGACCCGGCAAUCUGGCUUCAUGAAGAAGCAAAGGGGAAAGACCCUGCCACGGUGAGAAGCAGAAGCGAGGUGUGCUUGGCUUCAGUGAUCGGGCUUGGCGUGUCCUGCUCAAAGCAGCUGCCAAGGGAGCGGACGGCGAUGCGGGAUGCUGCCGCUGAGAUGCGUCCGAUCAGAGAUGCCUUCCUGGUUCAAUGUGCAACAGAGACUUGGGCUGCAGUCGGCACCACCGGCCUUGGAAGCGCAGACAGUUGAAUGGUGGACGGAGCUACGGUCUCUUGACGCACCAAGGAGCACCGGACUAGCAACUCUGCAACUAACAGAGUGGAGAAAGCGCCCCUUAAUGAAAAGAAAAACAGCCGGUGCAAGGCUUUAUACAAAGAAUGUGACAGCCACUGCGUGUAUCCGAGGCUUUAUACAACUCUGCCUUAUCUAAUCUACCGAGGAUUGUUGCGUAUGGAUGCGUAUAGAUUAUGCACGUACUCCCUCCUCCGUCCUAAAAUAAACGCACAUCUCGUUUCUCGAGGAGUCAAACUUUUAAGUUUGACUAAAAUUUAUAAAAAAAAUGUACUACUAUUUAUAAUGUAUAAUAAAUGUCAUUAUUGAGCAUUGGGUAUACUUUCCUAAUACAUUUAUUUGAAGAUGCAAAUAUUGUUACUAUUUUCUAUAUUCUUAGUCAAACUUAAAAACCCGUCAUGGGGAUUAGUCACGAUAUAAGUAGGGACUAGCAAGCAUCAAAACCCCAUUCACUGCCCAUCUAUCGCUCAAAUAAAAGAAACCAUUGCAUAUGGUGGCGAUGCGCUCGCGAGCCUUUCUCCAACCUUUCUGCUCUCGCGAGCCUUGAACUCGCAUGGAACAGUUUUAGUGAGAGUGUGCCUCCAACUUUGGGAAGAUUGUGAAGCCUUAUUUACCUGUCCUUAAGUGGCAAUAAGUUAUGAUCGAAUGAUAAGGACGGAUUGGAAUUCAUCACCAUGCUAGCAAACUGCAGCCAGCUUCAGCAACUGGCUUUUGAUAAUAAUUCAUUCAUCGGUGAACUUCCUAGCUCAAUAGCAAAUCUAUCGACAACUCACCAAUUACUCUAUAUAGGAAACAAUUGGAUUUCGGGAUUUAUUCCAUCCAGCAUAGGUAAUUUGCUUGGUCUAGAACUGCUUACGUUGGCAAAUACUUUCAUAUCCGGAGUGAUUCCAGAUAGCAUUGGUCGCAUAGAAGACAUGUCCGUGUUAGGCAUUUACUACGCUAGCUUGUCAGGCAUCAUACCUUCAUCACAAGAAACCUUACACAGUUGAAAACUCUAUGCAUACGAUAGCAACUUGGAGGGUCCAAUUCCAGCAAGCUUGGGGAACUUAAAGAAUCUUUUUGUUCUUGAUCUUUCAACGAAAGUGUGUUACCCGUUAAGAUUUCAUGUCGAAGCAGAGCAUAAACCUCUCUCAAGACUGCAAAGCUAUCAUAGAGCAGAUCAGUCUGAGGGCCGGGCUAUGUACCCUUUCGGUAAGAUUACCCCAAACUAGAGUCUGUAAUUAAUUAGCCAAGACUAGAAUUACGUAGUUCUUGUGGUUGUACUGUUUUCCUGGGUGGCCGCUCCAUGUUCCAAUUAAGCAUGAUGAUCUUGUAUUAAUAAAAGGUAUAUCAUAAAUAAAACAAGUUUAAUCAUUGAGUUCAUUAAAACCAUCACAACCCAAGGUAUUGCAACUAAGCAUAUCUACCAAAAAAAGGGUAAAACCCAGGUUGACAAAGAAUGAUCAUAAAAACUAGGUAAACCUUAAUAGGGCCCAUCAAUUUUAAGUGCACAGCAAUGCAAAAGUGAUUAAAUAUAGUUAUUGGGACAAAAGCACAUGGACACACUUGCCUUUCUCCAAAGAAUAGCUGCUCUGAUUAUCUUCAACUCUUGUUCCUCAAAGCUCUCGAACAACGUUCCUUAUACUCACAUCAAUCAUUGGCACAAGCAUACAAAGCAAACAACAAUCACAACUAAGAACAAUACAUCAAUCAUAGGAAAGCUUUAAAAGAGCGCACUAAAGGAUAAGGCUUGAAUCUGAAACACUGGGAACUAAACUAUGGUUGAAAUGACAAAGCUAUCGAGAGAUUUGAAUUAUAAAAGAAAGAGAAAAGCCUAUGCGCUUCAUAUAUUUCAAUAAAGAAAAUAAUGUAAAGAUAUUUUAGAGAAACAUCCUUAGCAAGUUAUAUUUAUAUAUGAAAAGAUAAUGUAGAACUUAGUCAAAUUUUAUUUAUAAACAUUCAAGUACAAUUUAUGCAAAUUAAAAAUUUAAUUUGAAAAUAAAGUAUAUGGAAACAUCUAAGCGCAUAGCUUUAUGAUUCGGGUUGAACUAACCAAAUAUAAUUCAAAAACAUAUUUAUAUUUAUAUUAAGUCAAAUUAACAUAUAAUUAUGAAACCUCGAGAUAUAACUUAUGUAGCUUUUAUUUAGAAAACAAAUUGAAUAAACAUUAAUCAAUUUAAGUUCAAUUAUGAACCACCGUGGUGCAUCUCUAAUUCACUUUUAAUUGAAAGAGUUAUUUAAAUAAGCAUUAACUAAAUUAAUAUUUAUUAUGAAAAGUGGUUAUAACACUAAGUAGCUUUUAAUUAAGGAAGGCAUGUUUAACAUGCAUUAAUUAGAUUAAUAUUAAAUUUAUUUUAAAAACAUGCAUGAUGGAAAGAUCAGUACUAACAUGUAAUUUGUGUUAUCACGAACCUAACUCAACAAGAACGGAUAUAAACGGAGCUGUAACGAGGAGUCUAUGGGUUAAACAAGGUUGCAGGGCCUAAUCACGAUUAACGGAAGGUUGUUGGGGCUAGCAAGGAAGAUUUGCAAGACACUGGAAUAGAGCUCGUUAUUAGGUCAAAGCAUAGGGUUAGAUCUGUUAAAGUGCUCAGGUUGGACUUGGUUGCACGGAUACAAUCUAAUCAGGGACAUGGAUGAAAAAAACAAGACACAAGGAAAAACUAACUAUAUAUAGAGCUUUCUAGGGGCCUAUGCGCAAAAGCACCAUAGCUCAGCAUCCAUGGUGGACGGGCUCCUUGACGGCAAAAUCCUCAUGCUGGAUUUAUAAGCCUGGUAGUCCACCAAGGGGUUUCCCAAGUAGUUGAUUUGUAGGUGAGGGUGAUUGUGAAACCAAGAACUCGAAGGUGAUUGUGAGAACACGAAGGGACACAAAGGUUUUAGACAUGUUCGGGCCUCCGAAGAGUAAUACCCUACGUCCUAUAUGCUGGUUUGUAUUGCUUGAGAUUGAUGUGAUUGUUGCGAUAUCCUCGGGGGUGCCCUUGGCCACCUUAUAUAGGUUGACGACCAAGAGUUAAAAGUCGGUUUGAAUCUAAUCUACUCGGUAGUUACAUGGAAAGUAAUCUGAGUUGGACUACAAUACACGUUCCAUGAUAUCCGAGCAGAUUUGAACUGUCUUGUUGCCUUGACUUGCACUCCAAGUAACUUCAUAUCCUCGGCCCACACGCCCUGGUCGAGCGAGCCCUACUUGUCAGGUUCGGCCAGUAUCCUGGUCGGCUGGGGCCCAUGGGGUACCCAUUUCUCUCAAGCCCCCGAGCGUUGUGUAGGCAAAUAGAAACUUGAGGUCACCAAAACGAAACUUGAAAUGAAGUCGGCUGAAGCUGCGAAGGCGUCAUUGCGACGGAGAGGCUGCGCAGUGCUUAAAAGAAGAAAAUCUGAGCAAACACAGAGCCAACGCGUAGAGCGAAGACGAGUGCCGAGUUGAUGGAUGCUGGCAUCCAGUAGGUCGGAGCGAAGGUUACGGAGGGCGUCGCAAGAGAAACUCCGUAGGAGUAGCCCCCGAGCAUUGAAACGAUUAAGAUAAUCGGUACAUUGGUCAAAGUACAAAAAAUUAUCCCAUGAUGUAGAUCCUAGUGCUCGAACACAAGGAUGGGUGCAGCCAUGGAGGCCCGCCCACUAGAAGUAGGCACCCAGACCCAAGGACGAGGACUGAUAGGACCGCGUAGCCACGCUGACCUGAAAUAGGCGUCCAACCCCCGAGGACGAGGACUAGCGGAGCCGCGGAGGCAUGCUGACCUGAAGUAGGCGCCCAGCCCCCGAGGAUGAGGACUGGCGGAGCCAUGAAGGCACGCCGACUUGAAAUAGGCACCAAGUGUAACAACUCUACCUAAAUUAAGUGCUUUUAAAUAUAAACUAGUGGCUAAUCACUAAGUUAAAGAAGUAAAAUGACCAUUUUAACCCUAAGAAGCUCUUUUUGGAGUUUGAAAUAAAACUUGGAAUUUUAUAUGCAAACUUAAAAUUUUGCCCAAACAAGAGUUGUAAAACUUUCAAUUUCAAACAACUUUUGUUAAACGAACUUUGACUAAUUCAGAGUGGGAGGAAGUCAAAAAUAGCAAUCAAAACUGGAGUACUAAAGAACCCUAUAAACCUCCUAAGUCCUGGUUUUCAAAUUUUCCCUCCAACUUUGCAAGCCUUUAUCUCAUGAUUUCUUAUCCAAACUCAAGUCAGGCUCUUAAUAAAAGUUGUAGUCCCUCGAGUGUGUUCCAACUUUGUUACACUGACCCAGGUCCAAAUCGGGCCAGAACCUGUUCAAAAUCUUGGUCAAAGUGAGGUAAAACAGUCAACUCAUCCCUUGAGCCCCACAACGCUAAGUCUGAAAAACUGCUCAGAGUGCACCUCUUGGCGAGGGCGUUCCUCCAAAUUUUUGAACUAAACUCAAGAAAUACCCUAAAUAAAAGCUUAAACCCAGGGACCCCUACGUAGUUAAACCUUAAACCCAGGGGCUUGCUUGCAACUUUGUCACAGCUUUUCUUUUAAAUAAUAGGCAGAAAUAUGGUUGAAUUUUGUAAAUGCCCAGUAAAUCGUAGAAUAAUCAUAAAAAUGCCAAACUACUUUUGCUAGAAUCCUUUCUCUGUCUAGUUCCUAAGAAAAAUAAGUUUGCUCAUGUUACUGUUGUAAAUAAUAUCCUACGCUUUUAAUCAUGUUGUAGGCCUUUUAAAUCCUAAUAAAUAGAAGAAAAGUGGGAAAAAUGUGGAACCAACUCUGUGAUGCUUGUUUCUAUGUGUAGAAGCUUAGAAAAAUAGUUAGGGCUCUGGUGUAGCACUUUAAGUCACUGUUUUGACUUUAAAUUGGGAAUCUAAGUAUAAAUCUUCCUUUUUGCAUAAGUUUUGAUCUAGAGCUUAGAAAAAUGUGAAACUAGUUGGGUUAAUUUUGUUUUGCUGUAAAGUUCUCAGGAAAAAUAUAAAUUGUUGUGCAAAUCAGAAAUAAAAACACCUUCCUUGCUAAGCAUGUUUAAUUAAGAAAAGAAAUAGAGUAAAUAGUAACCUUGUCCAAAAAUUACGAAAAAAUUCACCAAAGCACCUGUAACAUACCCUUAACACACUGCUUAAGUUUCACCCUCUGUUGCACAAUAAUUUUGAAGAUGGAAAAAAUUAAGCUCAGUUUACCUUUAAUAAUAAAAUGCAUGUAACUUCUUUUUAAGUCAUCCUUUGGCCCCCAAACUUUUACAGUAACCUAGUGAUGGCUUAAGUGAGGUGCUGUAAUUUUAUCAAUGACUUUAACUACUUUUUGGAUAUGAAGUCAUUUUGGUUAAUUAAUCAACCUAAAGGAAUAAAAGGAGAGCGCGAAUUCUAAUACGAUAAAUAAGUGGACACUGAAAGAGGUACAUAAAAACAUUCAGAAGUAAGUAAUUAUUCCAAUGCAUCCAAACCACCCAACACGACCUUUCACACUCUUUAUGCAACUCUAAAUGCAAGAAAGCUAUAUAUGUACACAAUCGCCAUUCAACGCGAACUCAAGUUUAAAACGACCACUUUCGUUUGAAGUUAAAAAAAGUAAACCUCAUCAAAGUGUUUGUGGCUGUUGUGACUCUUGUCUUAAGCCAUGCCUUGUGUCGUUGAAUAAACGCGCGAGUCCAACUAAAUUUUUGUAUGUGCAUGUCGUAUAGAAGCAACUCUCGCCGACGGAACCUACGAGCUCCACCCGGCACCAGAGAAAGACCCCGCUACGGAGCUUCACCACUUGGAAGGCGAGCCCGAACCGGAGCAAGAUCCUGAGGACCCGCUAACUUUUCCUGAAGGCAAGCCCCGGAGCAUAAAUUCCUAUCUUUGAAUACUUGCAAUAUUAUUGAACACUUUGAUUGCGCAUUUACGUUUCUAGGAGUUGUAAUGAAACCUUAGAUGCAUGAACUUAGUACCUUGUUUGAAUACUAGUUGCUAAAGUCGAGUAGUUGCAAUGCUUAAUAGGUUCCGGUAAAAGUCGAGUGAUUUCCUAUCACUCGCGAGUUAUAGGAGUUGAAUGUUUACUUAUGUUGCAACUAUAAGGACGAUGGAUGUGGUCGGGCUUAUGUUCGAUACUUGGUGGUUUUUCCCCGUCUGUCUAAAGGAAAUUGAUCUAAGGUUGAAAUGUGUCGGCGUUCGUGAUCAAGUGUUUGAAAGUACUAAUCUCAUACCUAGUAUGGGAUGGGGAAGCCUAGUACCUGAUUGAACUGGGGCAUGGCAUACUCCCCCAGCUGCCUUGGAACACCGUUCCCAUGGUGCAUCAUGUGGGUGCAAGUGCGGUCAUAGUACGGCAGAGGCCGGGAUUAUGGAGCAUGGCAUGCCAAAGGCAGUUGGCCCUGACACGUGCCUAAGGGAUCGAUGGGGACGGCUGACAAAUGAAGCAACCCUUCGUGGUGCGCGGAUGUCGUGAGAUUAGGUUCGCCAUGCAUGGUUAAUAAAUUCGAAUCGAUUCGUCUGCCUCUCACAGUUUGGGACUACUUGAUCGCUAUUCUGCACUGAGUAACGAUGAAACAUGAUUACGAGAUUAAGUUGAUGCUUGUUAUUUAACUGCUUGGAAAUCAUGCUUGUUUAGCAUAAGUGGCUAAUCUAGAAUGGUUAAAGAACGUAGAACUUGAGCUAAAAUAUUGAAAGUAAGGACUGAUUGUAGACGCUUGUGGCAAAGAAAUCGCAGAGCCAGAAAGCCUUGCAUGUCUAGGUCUUGGUAAAGCUUUUCACUCGACGGGUCAGUCUUGCUGAGUAUUAGUUGCUCAGCCUUGUUGUGGCUUAAUCUUUUCCAGUGAUGUCAAUAGUUUGGUUGCGGGCACCACUUGGCCUACCCAGCUCCCUCCGGGCUGGACAGUCGAGUGGGAUCCCUCCUCGGACGGCGAGGGAAGGGAUUUUUGAUGUCAUGAUUGGAUCCGUCGUGAUGUCAUGUAUCGAUGUUUAGCUUCCGCUUGUUUUAUCCGACUUUUCGAACCUUGCAACUUGUUUGAAUUUUCAGAAACUCUGAUGUAAUAAUUUGUGACACUAAGGAAUGUGAUGGAAUGUAGUAAUCUCUGUGCUACUCACCUUCAUGUGAGCGAUGCUUCUCGAUCCUGUUUAGGUGGUUCAUCGGAUGAAAUCCAACGGUCGACCAGUUUGACUUGCUUAAAGUGCAUAAUCGCGUGUCAGGCGACUUCAACGCAUUUUAGUCAGGUUAAUUUGGGUGGUUCCGCCACAGCUAGCAUCAGAGCUCGAAGCACGGUAUGGAGAACAACAAACCUUAAAACACUUUUCCUGACUAAAACUUGCAAGAAACGAGUUGAAAAAUUCGUAAGUUCGUUAAGGAUGAAUUUAGUACGAGGAGCCCUAGGGGAAUUUUGGGUCUUUUAAGGUGGCUAAUAAUUAUUGGUUAUCUUCUGACUUCCAGCACUUGUUACCACGUCUAUCAUACGUGUGCCGAGAUCUGCAUCGCGAGUGUGCGAAGGGUGAUAGGAAUUCGAUUCCAACGAGCCUAUCAUCACGGUUGUUUCGCCCACGUCUAUUAUACGUGCGCAGGUUCCGUAUGUUAAUUCAUGCGAAGGAUGGUAUGGUUCGAUUCCAACGAGCCUAUCAUCACGGUUGUUCGCCCACGUUUAUUAUACGUGUGCAUGAUUCCGCAUCACGAGAAUGUGAAGGGUUAUAUGGUUCUAUUCAAGGGAACCUAUUUCCACGGUUGUUGCGCUGUCCAUGCAGCGUUAAACGCAUGGGUGCCGUUUCUAUAGUGAACGGUAAUGAUUGUGGACGCUUUUGUGAGUACUGGCACGGAAAGUUCAAGCUAUGAUGUGUUUUUCUGCGGGUACACUAACAACGUUGCGUACGAAACGAUGCUUAGCAACUCGACUAGUUAUUAUAGUGAGAGUCGUAUUGUUGCCUUGCCACCGGCACUAACCACGUAAGUUCAAAGAUUUUUGGCGAUUAUUUUUGGUUGAGAGGAUGACUAGGACGUGCAUGCAUUAAGAAAUAAAAACCGCAACCUAAGGAAAUAAAACCAAGCUCGAGUGUGUCGUAAAAAGAAAUGCACCGCGAUAAGGAUCGUCUAGUUGUCCUUUUUUUUCCGCCAUGCACGUUUAAAUAAAUCUUUCAGGUUGUUCCAUAUGAUAACUUCAGAAACUUUAUAUAAGAAAUUUGUGUUAAAUCUCCCAAGUAAACUGCUGAAAAUUUUUCACAAAGUACUACCACUUGGGUUGAGAGUUGUGAUCAGUUUUGUGACCCCCUGUUGGCUGUUAGCCCUGAGUGCACACCAGUUGGAAUUCUGCUGUUUCGACCACCUUAAGAACUUUUUCUGCUAGGAGUCCCUUAAGAAACGUUUCUCAAAACUUAAUAAAGAACUUACUGGUAAAAUUGCAGCUUCAUUAGGUCUCUUGUUUUGAAGUUAUGUUCAGUUUACUUUGACUCGGGUCUGAAAAAUUCUAGCAUGUACACUUAAUGGGAAUCUGAGGUUAUCACCUUGUUAGGUCCUGUUCUAGCCCUACCUUUGAAUACCAAACUUGUUACGCACUAUCUAAAGAACAUGCUGGUAAAAUUUGAGAAAUUUUGGAUGAAUAAUUGCUGAGUUAUGAGCUUUUCUCUAACUGCUAGAAAUCUGUUUUGAUUUCCAAGUGUUAACUCCGUUUCUCACUUGUCCUUUGGUUACAGUGGCUCAGCCUGUGCACGUUGCAGUCGGUACGGAUGGCACCACCUACUCACGGUGCCUUCACUACGAGGGUUUCCUAGCCGUACUGUGGGACACCCUGCGCUCUUUUGGGUACCCGUCACCGCCAGUUUACGCGGGACGUGCAUACCAGGACCGCGGGAUUCCGCGGAGUCGCGUGCACGUGCGGGUGCCCCCGCCUCCGGGUCAGCCACAGUGUCCGCUUUUGGAGGUGGUGGCCGAGGGAUAGACACUACAGGACACCUGGGAGUUCGCAGCCUUGCAGACCCUGACACAGUUUUGCCGGGCACACCCUCUUGAGAUCGUGCUGGACCCGAUUGGGUUGUGCUCUGCUCGGGAUACGAGGGACCCGGAUUGGUUGGAUCGUAUGGAGCAUAUGGACUUACUCAGGGUUAUGGAUCCACAACGCACGAUUUUUGUUUCAGCUCGUUGCCUGAACGUGUUCUUCCGGAUGGUUGAGAUGCAGAGCCGAGCGAUGGCUACGGUGAUCGGGAUGGCAGUGGCCAACCAGGUCGCUUUAUCUGCCGUGCAGAGUGGCAUGGUGGACCAGUCGCUUGAGCUAGUACAGAAGGAUGUCCAGAUUGCUGAGAUGCAGGACAAGAUCACUCGUUUGGAGGAGGAGAUUGUGGAUAUGGAGCAUGAUAUGGAGAUCUUGGCUGACCAGUUCUAUGAUGUGAACAUGGAGCCGGCGAACGUCAAUGAGCACCUGCAGGAGCAUCACGAUGAGCUUAAUGCCAUUCACACCUUAGAGAUGCAGCAGGAUGAGCCGAUGGCCCAGGAGGAGGAGCCUGAGGAGAUCGAGGGCUUUUCGAGCAUGGACUAUGAGGAGGCCUCUCCGCAGCCUCCAGUUGGCGAUGCUCACUCUCCUGCCCUUAGCUUUGCCUCCGUGGGCAACCUCGACGACUUCUAGUUGUGUUGACUUGUUGUUGAGGGGUUCUCUUUUGUUUUUACUCCUCGGCGACCUAUAUUUUGGCUAGUGAUAUAAUAGGUUAGCUUGAGUUGAGUAUUUGGGAGUUGAGAAACUGAUUCUAUGUUGGAUUGCCGUUGCUAUCUUUAGUGUAAUGUCUGAAAUUUAUGGCAGAACUGCAGUGACUGUUUCUCCUCAGUUUUACCCCUGUCUCCACUCGUUUUUGAGCCAAAGUUUGAAUACCAAAGUUGUGCAAAAACUUCUGUUCUAACUAUUCGUAAAUUUUCAGCUCCUUCGGAUCUGUCAAACGCCCGCUAGAGCCAAAACCCCACUGUUCAGCUUGCUGAAAAAUCAGCCGGACAGCAACUUGCUAGAACGUCUAAACGACCUCUUUUCCUUCCUUUUCGGUCGACAAGCGUAACAUGAAAGUGGUUGUGUACGAUAUAUUCUAACCCUCACUUAAGGAUGAGAACCUUGUGCACUUCGAAGAAGAGAUAUGCACCUACUCAAUAAAAGUUUUGAUUGUUGCUUUUGCACCAUCGGCAAGACUAGCGUUUAUCAUUUCCGCACAUAAUGUUUCCUUAUGGUUAAACAAGAUUUUGGGGCUAUGUGACUAAUGGAAAGGUGAAUCUUGCAGAUGGCACAUCGCAUAUGCUCCGGCUCCAUUCCUAGUGGCAGCGAGGUGCCUCCCCCACCUCCGCCUCCAACCACCCUCGAGGCAAUCUUGGCGGCUCAAACCGAGCUGCUGAGGCACAUCGCUCAGGGACAGCAGCAGCAGCAGCCCUAGGGAGGAAGAGCCCAUCAGCAGCCUCAUGUUGCUCGCUACGAGGACUUUCUGGGGACCCAGCCUCCUCUGUUCCACAAGACGGAGGACCCGCUUGACGCCGAUGCCUGGAUUCGUGCCAUCGAGUCCAAGUUCUCCCUUCUCACCGCCCAUUGCCCGGAGGAGAACAAGGUUCGGUUCGCCGCGCAACAGUUGCAUGGUUCUGCUCUCCUGUGGUGGGAUCACUACCACGCCAUGCAGCCGGCCGACCACGUCGUCGGCUGGGAGGAAUUCAAGACAGCGUUCAAGGGCCAUCACAUCCCUGAGGGUCUUCUGGAGCGCAAGCUCAAUGAGUUCCUGGCUCUCACCCAGGGAGGCCGCGACGUCCUGCACUAUGCGCAGGCUUUCAAUGACCUGUGUCGCUAUGCAGGCUAUCAUGCAGACUCUGAUGAGAAGUAGAGGGACCGCUUCCACAGAGGCUUGAGCCUGGAGCUCAAGGAAAGCCUGAAUCCCAUCAAGGUGGAUUCCUACAAUGAACUGGUGAACCUGGCAAUUUCCCAGGAAGAUUGCAUGAGGGCUCUCAAGGCUGACCUGAAGCGAAAGGCUCCAAUGCCGGCACCCGGCCCACCGGCCCAGAAAUACAAAGUGGUUCCCCCACAGGCGUCUCACAGGCCCGCACAACCUAGGAGAUGGGUUGCUCGACCUCCACCGCAGGCAGCACCUCAUUUCCCUGGAUUCCAGCCGCAAGGGCCCCGACCUACUCUUCCUAUGCCGCCAUGCCUAGUCACUGGAAACCGCUGUUUCACCUGCGGGAACCCAAGACACUUUGCCAAGAACUGCCCCCGCAACAAGAAUCAACGACCCGGUCAGAGCAAUGCACUGAGCAACAAGGGGAAGAAGCCGAGGGUUCAGGUCCGACAAGGCAGGCUGAACUACACCACCCUUGCUGAACUUCCAGAGGGUGCACCAGUGAUGACGGGUACCUUUUCUAUCUAUAACCAACCCGUCCUUAUUCUGUUUGAUUCGGGAGCAUCUCAUAGUUUCAUUGGGACUAGAACCAGUGCUAAGUGUGGGUUAGAUUUCUGUCACACAAAAGGUGCUUAUAUAAUCUCUACCCUGGGUAGGAAAGUAACUUCACACCAAGUGAGCCGCAAGGUGCCUAUCCAGUUGGGGAGAACCCUUUUUAAGGAAAACCUCCUUAUCCUUGGGAUAGAAGGAAUAGAUAUUAUCUUGGGUAUGGAUUGGAUGACUCGACAUCGAGUGGCACUAGACAUCCCUGCCAGAGCCGUCCAUAUAAACUCACCCAUUUAUGGUAGCUCAAUCAUACACUUACCCCCCCGAGAGUGCCAAACUUUUUGUGCCUAUCCCUUGACUGAAGCCCGUUUAGAAGACAUCCCAGUGGUGUGCGAGUAUCCCGAUGUGUUUCUAGAUGAUUUGCUGGGUAUGCUGCCUAAUAGAGAUAUCGAGUUUGCUAUUGAGUUGCAACCAGGUACUGCCCCAAUUUCAAAGAGACCGUACCGGAUGCCACCAGCCGAGCUGGCAGAAAUGAAAGCUCAGUUUCACGAUCUGUUGGACAAAGGUUUUAUUCAUCCAAGUACAUCACCUUGGGGUGUCCCCGCCUUGUUUGUGAAAAAGAAGGACGACAGUCUGCGUAUGUGUCUGGACUACUGCCCUCUCAAUGCGGUGACGAUAGAGAACAAGUACCCACUACCCCGCAUUGAUGUUCUGUUCGAUCAGUUAGCUGGAGCUAGAGUGUUUUCCAAAAUUGACCUCCAUUCUGGCUACCAUCAAAUCAAGAUCCACCCGUGCGACAUUCCUAAGACUGCUUUCUCUACACGGUAUGGACUCUAUGAGUACUUAGUCAUGUCAUUUGGGCUUACUAAUGCACCAGCUUAUUUCAUGUACCUCAUGAAUUCGGUGUUUAUGCUCGAACUCGACAAAUUCAUCGUGGUUUUCAUUGACGAUAUCUUGGUGUACUCAAAGGAUGAGGAAGAACAUGCAGAGCACCUACAUACUGUACUCCAACGCUUAAGAGAUCACCAACAAUAUGCCAAAUUCUCUAAGUGUGACUUCUGGCUGGACAGUGUUAAAUUCUUGGGGCACACCAUAUCCAGAGACGGUAUAGCAGUAGACCCAAGCAAAGUGCAAGAAGUAAUGGACUGGAAGUCGCCCACUUCAGUUCAUCGGAUUCGAAGUUUUCUCGGGUUAGCAGGUUACUACCGUCGCUUCAUUCCUGACUUCUCAAAAAUAGCUAAGCCAAUGACGAAACUGCUAAGGAAGGGAGUUAAGUUCAUGUGGAGUGACAAAUGUGAAGAAGCCUUCCACACCCUGAGACAAUUACUGACCUCUGCGCCGGUUUUAGCUCAGCCCAACACCACUAGGCUGUUUGACGUAUAUUGCGAUGCCUCUAGCACUAGACUGGGUUGUGUUCUUAUGCAAGACAGCCGAGUCAUUGCCUAUGCCUCACGAGCGCUACGGCCACAUGAGUUGAACUACCCUACCCAUGAUCUCGAGUUAGCAGCAAUCGUUCAUGCUCUGAAAUUAUGGAGGCAUUAUCUUAUGGGAACUCGAUGCAACAUCUAUACGGAUCACAAGAGUCUUAUGUACAUCUUCACUCAAGCAGACCUCAACAUGCGCAAGAGAAGAUGGUUAGAAUUAAUCAAAGAUUAUGACCUAGAAGUGCACUAUCACCCAUGCAAAGCCAAUGUAGUUGCCGAUGCUCUCAGCCGCAAGAUCCAUUGUAACUGCUUAUCGGCAAUUAAUUAUGCCGAGACCCUCUGUCAUGAAAUGGCUAAACUCAACUUGGAAAUUGUUCCCCAUGGCACCUUAAGUCAUAUUUCUUUAGAGCCUACCCUGCUUGACCAAAUAAUUUUAGCACAACUAGAGGAUGAAGAGAUAAACCUUAUCAAGGAGAAACUCGCACAGGAGGAUGAGGGAUAUAAGCAUUUCUGAUAGGAUUGGAGAGGAGUGGUACAUUAUGAAGCUCGACUCGUAGUUCCAAAUGAUCCCGAUCUUAGGAAACAAAUUCUGGACGAAGCACACCUUUCCAAGUUCUCGAUUCACCCUGGUAGUACCAAGAUGUACCACAACCUCUGACAAAAUUUCUGGUGGAGUGGAAUGAAACCCGACAUUGCACGAUAUGUUUCAGAGUGUGAUACCUGUCAGCGAGUCAAAGCAAGCCACUUAAGGGUAGCUGGCCCCUUGCGGCCACUGCCUAUUCCCUCGUGGAAGUGGGAGGACAUAAGCAUUAUAGUCAGACUACCCAAUACCUCCCGCAAACAUGAUUCGAUAUGGGUUAUAGUAGACCGACUUACCAAAACAGCGCAUUUUCUUCCAGUACACACCACCCGCGCCAUACAGAAAUAUGCAGAACUGUACCUUGACCGGAUUGUUUCCUUGCAUGGUGUACCUAAGACGAUCAUCUCUGAUCGAGGUAGUCAGUUUGUAGCACGCUUUUGGGAGCAGUUGCAGUUUUCACUUGACACUAAAUUUAUUCGUAGUUCCACAUAUCAUCCUUAAACCGAUGGACAAACUGAAAGGGUUAACCAGAUUUUGGAAGAUAUGCUACGCGCCUGUGCCAUUCAUUAUGACAAGAACUGGGAUAAGUGUUUGCCAUUAGCGGAAUUCUCAUACAACAAUAGUUACCAAGCUAGCCUGAAAAUGGCGCCUUUUGAAGCCUUGUAUGGACGUAGAUGCCGAACCCCGCUAAGCUGGUCGCAACAGUGUAUGGACCUGACCUGGUCAUGGAGGCCGAAGAAAAAGUAAGAGUUAUUCGUGAAAAUCUCAAGGCCGCCCAGUCUCGACAAAAGAGCUAUUCCGAUCAAAGAAGAAGACCUAUCCAAUUUGAGGUUGGGGAUUUUGUAUACCUGCGGGUUUCACCGACCAAAGGCGUACAACGUUUUGGAGUAAAAGGAAAGUUGGCUCCGCGCUAUAUUGGUCCCUAUGAGAUUGUAGAAGUUUGUGGACCCGUAGCGUAUCGAGUUAAACUUCCAGAGAAGAUUGCAGCGAUACACGAUGUUUUCCAUGUCUCACAACUCAAGAAGUGCAUUCGGGUUCCAACUGAAAUCAUCGCCUCGGAAGAAUUGGAGAUUGAACCCGAUUUAACAUACAAGGAGUAUCCUGUUAAGAUCCUUGACCGGAAGGAAAGACAUACUCGUAGGCAAAUGGUAAAAAUGUACAAAAUUUGGUGGAGUAACCAUACGGAAGAUGAAGCGACCUGGGAGACGGAAGAGUAUCUCAACACUAACUUCCGCGGUUUUCUUUUCGACCAGGAAGGUACGUUGCACCGGCCACACUAGUUCCUUUCUGCACUUGAAUCUCGGGGCGAGAUUCCUUUAAGGGGGGUAGGCUGUAACAACUCUACCUAAAUUAAGUGCUUUUAAAUAUAAACCAGUGGCUAAUCACUAAGUUAAAGAAGUAAAAUGACCAUUUUAACCCUAAGAAGCUCUUUUUGGAGUUUGAAAUAAAACUUGGAAUUUUAUAUGCAAACUUAAAAUUUUGCCCAAAUAAGAGUUGUAAAACUUUCAAUUUCAAACAACUUUUGUUAAAGGAACUUUGACUAAUUCGGAGUGGGAGGAAGUCAAAAACAGCAAUCAAAACCGGAGUACUAAAGAACCCUAUAAACCUCCUAAGUCCUGGUUUUCAAAUUUUCCCUCCAACUUUGCAAGCAUUUAUCUCACGAUUUUGUAUCUAAACUCAAGUCAGGCUCUUAAUAAAAGUUGUAGUCCCUCAAGUGUGUUCCAACUUUGUUACACUAACCCAGGUCCAAAUCGGGCCAGAACCUGUUCACAAUCUUGGUCAAAGUGAGGUAAAACAGUCAACUCAUCCCCUGAGCCCCACAACGCUAAGUCUGAAAAACUGCUCAGAGUGCACCUCUUGGCGAGGGCGUUCCUCCAAAUUUUUGAACUAAACUCAAGAAAUAACCUGAAUAAAAGUUUAAGUCCUCAGUUUGGAGAGCAACUCCUUCAAUAACACUUCAGUCUAAUUCAACUUGGAAGCUGCCCUAAAUUCGACUCAAACAUAGCUAAGUUCCUGAAAUUCCACCUCUCCGGCCAAAAUUGGCUAAGUCUGGAUUUCCAGAUUUUUAGCAAACUUUGGCACGAGAUAUCUUCAAAUCCUUUCACAAUCUAAACCAGCACCUUAAACCAAGUUUGAACUACGUCCAGAGUUGAACAAGUUUGUUUAAAGGAGUUUUGGAAGAUGUGUUGCAAAAUCUUAAGUUAGGAUCUCCCAAAGCCGGUCGGGCUUGCUGCCCGAAGGGGGCCUCGACGCCCGCGCGCCAGAGCACGUUCGCCCGCGCGCCACGCGUCGCGUGGCCGCCGGCCACCGGCAGUUCGCCGGCGCCCUAUCACCGGCAAGACAACGAUAGGGCAAGGGCCACGGCGCCCAACCCGCGCUUGCGACAGGACGGUGCGAAUGCCGGGCUAGCGAACCGCCGGCCGCGCGGGUGUCCUUUUCCCCCUGCCACGGCUCUGCUCCGCCAACCGUGCUCCGCCCGUCCGCGGGAGAAGCCGCCACGCCGAUGACAUCCCGCGCCUCCGCCCGCUCGCCCAACCCCAAUGGUAGCCCUCCGCUUCGCCCGCCCGACAGACCGGAAGCCUCAGACACGCAUCGCCCAAGGCCAAUCCCCGCCGGAGACCACUCGGAGCUCCGACUCCUCUGCCCAAUGGCGCCGCUGGCCAAUGGCCGCCUCGCCCGCGCACCCGCCGCACCUGGCCUUAUCCUUCCUCCACCAGAGCCCCGCCUCGACCCUCCGCUCCACCGCUGCCCUAUAAAAAGGUCCCUCUCACCGGCAACGCCACCCUUUGCCACCACCCACAAUCGCGCCACCGCUUCCUCCUCUGCGCCGCCACUAAUCUUCCGUGGAGCUCACCCCUCCGCGCCACCCCGCACUCCGGCGACUUCACCGCUUGCUUUGCCAACCCACCGCGCACGUCUCCGAGCAGCUCGUGGCCUCCCCGACGCCGCCGAUGCGCCGGAACGUCGCCUGCACCGCCGCCAGCCAAGCUCUGUUGCCGCCGCCGCGUUCCGAUCCCCGUCGGCCAUCUCCGUCGCCCCAACCCCGCCAAACCGAGCUCAGGUGAGCCCCCGCACCUCUCCGGCCACUUGUUGCCCCAUCCUCGCCGGCGAACCGCCGGGGAUUUCCUCACCGCCGCCGCGCGCGCCCCGGGGACCACAUUGCAUCGUCCCCAUUCUUUCCAGGGGCUUGAGCGCAAAACUCAAGGACCCCUGUGUAGUUAAACCUUAAACCCAGGGGCUUGCUUGCAAGUUUGCCACGGCUUUUCUUUUAAAUAAUAGGCAGAAAUAUGGUUGAACUUUGUAAAUGCCCAGUAAAUCGUAGAAAAAUCAUAAAAAUGCCAAACCACUUUUGCUAGGAUCCUUGCUCUGUCUAGUUCCUAAGAAAAAUAAGUUUGCUCAUGUUAAUGUUGUAAAUAAUAUCCUAUGCUUUUAAUCAUGUUGUAGGCCUUUUAAAUCCUAAUAAAUAGAAAAGUGGGAAAAAUGUGGAACCAACUCUGUGAUGCUUGUUUCUAUGUGUAGAAGCUCAGAAAAAUGGUUCGGGCUCUGGUCUAGCAUUUUAAGUCACUGUUUCGACUUUAAAUUGGGAAUCUAAAUAUAAAUCUUCCUUUUUGCAUAAGUUUUGAUCUAGAGCUCAGAAAAAUGUGAAACUAGUUGGGUUAAUUUUGUUUUGCUGUGAAGUUUGCUGGAAAAAUAUAAAUUGUUGUGCAAAUCAGAAAGAAAAACACCUUCCUUGCUAAGCAUGUUUAAUUAAGAAAAGAAAAGGAGUAAAUAGUAACCUUCUCCAAAAAUUAUGAAAAAUUCACCAAAGCUCCUGUAACAUACCCUUAACACACUGCUUAAGUUUCACCCUCUGUUGCACAGUAACUUUGAAGAUGGAAAAAGUUAAGCUCAGUUUACCUUUAAUAAUAAAAUGCAUGUAACUUCUUUUUAAGUCAUCCUUUGGCCCCCAAACUUUUACAGUAACCUAGUGAUGGCUUAAGUGAGGUGCUGUAAUUUUAUCAAUGCCUUUAACUACUAUUUGGAUAUGAAGUCAUUUUGGUUAAUUAAUCAACCUAAAGGAAUAAAAGGAGAGCGCAAAUUCUAAUACGAUAAAUAAGUGGACACUGAAAGAGGUACAUCAAAACAUUCAGAAGUAAGUAAUUAUUCCAAUGCACCCAAACCACCCAACACGACCUUUCACACUCUUUAUGCAACUCUAAAUGCAAGAAAGCUAUAUAUGUACACAAUCGCCAUUCAACGCGAACUCAAGUUUAAAACGACCACUUUCGUUUGAAGUUAAAAGAAAGUAAACCUCUCCAAAGUGUUUGUGGCUGUUGUGACUCUUGUCUUAAGCCAUGCCUUGUGUCGUUGAAUAAACGCGCGAGUCCAACUAAAUUUUUGCAUGUGCAUGUCGUAUAGAAGCAAAUCUCGCCGACGGAACCUACGAGCUCCACCCGGCACCAGAGAAAGACCCCGCUGCGGAGCUUCACCACUUGGAAGGCGAGCCCAAACCGGAGCAAGAUCCUAAGGACCCGCUAACUUUUCCUGAAGGCAAGCCCCGGAGCAUAAAUUCCUAUAUUUGAAUACUUGCAAUAUUAUUGAACACUUUGAUUGCGCAUUUACGUUUAUAGGAGUUGUAAUGAAACCUUAGAUGCAUGUACUAGUUGCUAAAGUCGAGUAGUUGCAAUGCUUAAUAGGUUCCGGUAAAAGUCGAGUGAUUUCCUAUCACUCGCGAGUUAUAAGAGUUGAAUGUUUACUUAUGUUGCAACUAUAAGGACGAUGGACAGGGUCGGGCUUAUGUUCGAUACUUGGUGAUUUUCCCCGUCUGUCUAAAGGAAAUUUAUCUAAGGUCGAAACGUGUCGGCGUUCGUGAUCAAGUGUUUGAAAGUACUAAUCUCAUACCUAGUAUGGGAUGGGGAAGCCUAGUACCUGAUUGAACUGGGGCGUGGCAUACUCCCCCGGCUGUCCUUGGAACACCGUUCCCAUGGUGCAUCAUGUGGGUGCAAGUGCGGUUAUAGUACGGCAGAGGCCGGGAUUAUGGAGCAUUGCAUGCCAAUGGCAAUUGGCCCUGACACGUGCCUAAGGGAUUGAUGGGGACGGCUGACAAAUGAAGCGACCCUUCGUGGUGCGCAGAUGUCGUGAGAUUAGGUUCGCCAUGCAUGGUUAAUAAAUUCAAAUCGAUUCGGCUGCCUCUCACAGUUUGGGACUACUUGAUCGCUAUUCUGCACUAAGUAACAAUGAAACAUGAUUAUGAGAUUAAGUUGAUGCUUGUUAUUUAACUGCUUGGAAAUCAUGCUUGUUUAGCAUAAGUGGCUAAUCUAGAAUGGUUAAAGAACGUAGAACUUGAGCUAAAAUAUUGAAAGUAAGGACCGAUUGUAGACGCUUGUGGCAAAGAAAUCGCAGAGCCAGGAAGCCUUGCAUGUCUAGGUCUUGGUAAAGCUUUUCACUCGACGGGUCAGUCUUGUUGAGUAUUAGUUGCUCAGCCUUGUUGUGGCUUAAUCUUUUCCGGUGAUGUCAAUAGUUUGGUUGCGGGCACCACUUGGCCUACCCAGCUCCCUCCGGGCUGGACAGUCGAGUGGGAUCCCUCCUCGGACGGCGAGGGAAGGGAUUUUUGAUGUCAUGAUUGGCUCCGUCGUGAUGUCAUGUAUCGACGUUUAGCUUCCGCUUUUUUUAUCUGACUUUUCGAACCUUGCAACUUGUUUGAAUUUUCAGAAACUCUGAUGUAAUAAUUUGUGAAACUAAGUAAUGUGAUGGAAUGUUGUAAUCUCUGUGCUACUCACCUUCGUGUGAGCGAUACUUCUCGAUCCUAUUUAGGUGGUUCAUCGGAUGAAAUCCGACGGUCGACCAGGUUGACUUGCUUAAAGUGCAUGAUCGUGUGUCAGGCGACUUCAAUGCAUUUUAGUCAGGUUAAUUUGGGCGGUUCCGCCACAGCAAGCCCCCGAGGACGAGGACCGGCAAAGCCAUGAACGCACGCUGACCAGAGUUAGGCGUCCAGCCCCCGAGCAUGAGCGCAAGGACUGGUGGAAGCACGUCGAGUUGCCUCCCGCCCUAAGCCGAGGCAGAGAGGUUGGCUGGGCGACGGGCGACACGUGGAGUCAUCUACGGUACCUAGCCGCCGAGCCUGGGAGCAGGACGAGUUGCAAAAGCAUGCCAAGUUGCCUCUUGCCCUGAGCUAGCAAGGUCGACCGGGUGACGGGAGGCACGCCAAGUCAUCUGCGGUGCCCAGCCCCCGAGCCUUGGAGCCGGCCGAGCCACAGAAGCACGCCAAGCCGCCUCCCGCCCCGAGCUAGAGAGGUCAGUCGGGCAAUGGGAGGCACGCCGAGUCGUCUGCGGUGCCCAGGCCCCGAGCCUAGGAGCCGGACGAGCCACAAAAGCAUGCCAAGUCGCUUCCUGUCCUGAGCUAGAGAGCUCGGCCGGGUGACGGGAGGCACACCGAGUAGUUUUUUGAGCUGUAAAAGGACAAUACAAUCAUUAUGUAGCAUAAUGUAGAUUAUUUAAUCAUUGAACAACUCGGAAGUUUAAUACGCUGUAGAAGUAAACUCUUGCUAAUCCUGCUCUUGUAGGCCAAGUAAAUUCCCCAGGUAGUUAGCUUAUUACGUUCAAGCACCUAGCCCUACUAACCACUGCUCAUGGAGAGGAUAGUUUAUCUCAGGCUAUAGCGCUGGGGCUGACCUGAUGCUCGCAUAUAGGAGACGCGCAGGAUGAGUCAAGGUUUCACGGAUUAAGGCGUGUGCUACCCGAGUACUUUAGCAACCGUUAACAGGGACGGAUAAGCCGCAAAGCAACUGGAGCUAUGCAAAAAAGCACCAGCAUGAGCUGGGCACCCAUGGGGUGUAGCCCCCGGCCGCCCGUGUAGUGGGUGGACCAAGCUGUAUAAGUAGGCACGGUGCGACCAAGGUGGUCGGCGAAAGUCACGAGGACAUAGGAGAGCUGAGGUGGUCGACAAAAGUCACAGGAACAUGGAGGAGCCGAGGUUUAUGUAGGUAUACGGAAGUCGUAAAAUAUUUAAUUAUAAAUAAGACUUAUCCUUAUUUGUGGUCAAGUCAAAAAACCCGCGUGUCAUCUUCGCGUUUAGGCUUAGAAGCCCCUGAGCGUGGUCGUCGGAUAGUUGUUGGUGAAGCAAACUAGUUGGGCAUGCCCAACUAAUUCAUGUCGAGGCCGAGUUGUUGGAGUUGUUAGCGGCACGUUUGUGGUAUGCUACUGCCGAGUCGAUGCGGCCAUCGGGUCGUGGCCGGCUGGCCGCCACGCUCACAGUACAACAUGCCUAGGUUGUGCUGCCAAACCAAGGGUGCAUGUAAAUCUUUCCGAAGCUUGUAAGGAAGCCCUCACAUAUUAAGGAACUCUAUACCUAAUACCAUCAUGGUUGUUUUGCAAAAAAGUCUCUCAACUUUUUUGUAAUCAACCCGCAGUCUUUGGAAUGUCUUGAAGAUUGUGCAAAAAGAUCCCCAAACUUUACUGCAAUUGGCCAUCGAAGCUCCCACAGCGUGCACCUAUGCCACAUGCGGUGCGGACGGGUGUGCCGGCUGCGACUGCAAGCUCCUCGCUGCGGCAGGGACCAGGUCGAGCAGCGACAGCAAUGACGAAGGGGAGUAGUCUGCGUCUGCGUGCCAUGCCACCGUCACCGGGCAAGCUGUGGUAGCGGCGGAGUGGGAGAGUGAGUCCAUUGGCGUGUGGAGGGUGCCGUGGGGCAGGUGGGUGGCGGAGAUCUGCAACCCACACCUCGCUGUGUGCAAGUGGCUCAGCACCUUCGACACCACUGAGGACGCCGCGCGUGCCUACAACGUCGCCACCGUCGAGUUCCGAGGCUGCUGUGCCAAGCUCAACUUCCCCGACGAUGCGGCUCUCGCACCUGCACCUUCCUAGGUGCUGACCUCGACAUACCAACACCACCACCACCUGCCGCAGCCGCUGCUCGAGAGCCUGCACGAGACCUGCGGGUCGAACGCAUCCUCAUCAGUGGACGUGGCUCUUGUGGUAGCGGCACCGACUGGGCAGCACGACACGAGGCCGGUGCCGAAGGAGCAGGACAUAUGGGACACGCUAAACGAGUUCAUGAUGAUGGAUGACGGUAGCUUCUGGUCGCCCAUGCCAUGAUCGUCAUAUUCUCCUCUUGUCUUCACUUUCGUUGCUUAGCAGAUAAUGGUGGUCAGCUGCCCUCUAGUCUGUCGUCAAUCGCCAGCCAUCCAUUGCUUUUAUAUGGUUUUACACUAGCUUUUGGGCUUUGAUCACACCUCCACACCCAUACGAAACGACUAGCUAGAGCGAUGUUGAUCUACUGCCUACCGCGCGCUAGGGCGAGCAGCUACUCACUCGGGCUGCAUGCCCUACCCACCACCUGGACCUAAGAGGUGAAGGAGAGAGGAGGAAGGGGGAAGGAAACAAGGAGCCGAGUGCCUCUUUGUAGUCAACCAAGUAGAGCCAUAUGCUAGUGAAGGCAUGGCGCCAGCGAGGGGGGCGCAGCGGCAGUCGGCAGGCAACGCAAACAGGGGCGGAGGUCGAGACCUCACACCCCCCUCUCAAUGACGUCCAUCCCCUUCAGAUCCGGAACUAAAGCCUCCACACCUAGCAAUUGGGGGCUCGAUUUUGCACUUGAUUGGAACGAUUUGGAGUGGAUUAUAGAAGGGAGGUGGAUGGAAAUGAGAAGAAGAGGAAAACGCACUCCUGCUCAUGGUGGCCAGAGGCACUGUGGCCUAGCGCUCAAAGCGGGAAUGAGGCUAGGCACGGGAAGGACGAGCGUUUGCCUGGGCGACGACGAGGAUGGCAAGAUGCGCAGCGCUUAGACGACGGUGAAGAUGGGGCAAGAUGUGGGUGGCACCGAUGGACGAAGAGGCAUCGACUGGUUAGAUGAUAAUGAGUACGGGGAAAAUUGAAUGAAUUUAUAGAGCGGUGGUUGAGCGGUGAUUUUUUUUGUUUCCAUGUGUGGGUCCCACGUAAUAAACAGAUGGCAUCAAACCACCCACAAAUAUCUUCUACUACUGUACUCGGACACCGCACCAACAUAUGGUGAAGUGAAGCUAACAUAUUAGAAACAAGCGAAUAAUAAUGUGAGAGUAAGUAAAGACCUGUAGUAACGUACGGGUAUUUCUGCUAGUAAGAAAAAAAAUUGUUAGUAAGCACCGAGCAACGUAGGAGAUCUACUGGAUGGAAUAGAUUAAAUAAUAAAGGGAAGGGAGAAUUGUUCUCUUUUUUUUCCGUGGCAGAUCUGACGUGUGUGCAUGCAACAAGUUGAGGUCGACGUGUCGUGCUAAAUCAACCAGAUCGUACCGGGGCUGGAUCAGGCGAGCUUGGUUGUGGCCGGGAUGAGGCCAAUAAGGGCGCCGCCCUUGACCUUGGCCUCCUAUUCCUCGCGGAUCUUCUGCAUCUGGAGCAUCCGCUCCAUGAUGAGCUUGUACUGGCACUUCUCGCAGGCGUGGCGCUCGGGCUCGCACUUCCAGCGGAGGUAGAACUGGGAGGUGCACGCACUGGUCAUGGUAGGCGAGUGGAACCCGAGCCUCCGCCAUCUCCACCUGCGUGACGAUCUGGAGCUUCGAGGAGCCGAACUGCACGCCGCCCGCCGCCUCCAUCUGUCACUUUGUUCCCCUCUCUCUCACUGGCGAGGUCGUUCCGUCGAUAUAUGGGCGCUGCGGGUUUGGUGCGGCGUGGGUGGGUAGGGUGCAGCAAGGAUGUGAGGAACCCUCUCGGAUAGAGAGAUUGCUGACCUACUGGGUAAGCGGUGUGAUGAUCCUUGGAUAGAGAACUUGCUCCACCAGAGUAAAUCUGACAGAUGCCGAGCUGGCGGCGGGCACCAAGUCGAAGUCCACUGACAUGCUCCUGAAGCGAAGCUGGAUCGGGUUGGUGAGAAAGUCCUUCAUGCUCUCAGGGAAAGUAAUGCCGGGGCGGGAUGCAAUCAAGCUCGCUAGGGAGGAUCUCACAAUCAUCCCUACCUGGCGCGCCAACUAUUGGAUUUAUAAGCCCGAUAGUCCACCAGGGGGUUACCCAAGUUGUUGAUUUGUAGGUGAGGGCGAUUGCGAAACCAAGAACUCUAAGGUGAUCGUGAAAACACGAAGGGACACGAAGGUUUUAGAUAGGUUGGAACCUCCGAAGAGUAAUACCCUACGUCCUGUAUGCUGGUUUGUAUUGCUUGAGAUUGAUAUGAUUGUUGGGAUACCCUUGGGGGUGCCCUUGGCCGCUUUAUAUAGGCUGACGAUCAAGAGUUACAAGUCAGUUUGAAUCUAAUCUACUCGAUAGUUACAUGGAAAGUAAUCUGAGUAGGACUAUAAUACGCGUUCCAUGAUAUUCGGCAUGUUUGAAUUGUCUUGUUGCUUUGACGUGCACUCCAAGUAACUUCAUGUCCUCAGCCCGUACGCCUUGGUCGAGUGGGCCCUACUUGUCAGGUAUGACCAGUAUCCUGAGGUACCCAUAUCUCUCACCUUGGUGCUCCGGCGAUUAGGGUCGGCAACGAGGAUGGGGAUUGGAAGAGGAGAUCGAGGGGACUUUAUGGAGAUGCUUACCGGCGGCGAGGUGGACGGAUUCCGGCUAGAAUUUGGCUGGCGGUGGAAGAACACGGCAACUGGCUCAGGUCUUCGCGAGUGAUGGUACUCCGGCGGUGGAGCGGCGACGAAGAAUGGUGGCAGAGCUGCUCCUCGAUGUCACGGAGCUCCCUAAGGCUCUAGCUUUCUUCGAUAGUCGACGGGCAUAGUGAAUCGGCCAGAGAAGGCUAGCAGCAGCUCCUAGCUCCGGCGGAUGUGGGGGAUGGCGGCGCUCGUGCAAGUAGGGAAGAGCGGCGGUGUGAGGCAGGGCAGUAGCAGGGGCACUGUCUCGACUUUUAUAGGUGUGUGGGUCCGCGCCUGCCUUGGCACGCACGCCGAGGUUCGGCGGUGGCGACGCCCAAGUGCAGCUACGCUUGGCCUUGACCCGCUAGUGGCCGAUGGGCCUAGCGAGCCUAGCCGAGCCAUCAGCUGGGCCGAGUCGGUGCAGGUUGGCUGGAGAGGGUCGGGCUACAAAGACUUGGCCCGAUCGAUUAGGAUUUUGCUUUUUUAGAAAUGAUUUCUCAUGAAAGAAAAAUCUAGAAAAAUUCUAGAUAAUUAAUUUAAAUAACGAAAAAAACCCUAAAAAUCCAAAAUUCCAGGAAAAAUCCUAGAGAUAGUUUGGGACAUGAGGAGUCCAAAUAAAAUACUUGGAGCUCAUGAAAAGGAUUCUAGAACCUUCCAAAAAUUGGAUUUAGCUAUAGAAAAAAUGAGAAUAAAUCUCAAAAAAUCUGGAAAUUCUCAUAAGAACCUAAUCGGCAUCUAAACGCAUUCCAAAAUAUUUGCACUUAUGAAAUACCAAGAUGCAUCGGUAUGAAUGCAACACAUACGGAGAACCAUUAUAUUUAAUUCAGAAAAACACUCAAUUAUUUCCCUAUACUAAAUUUCCUGUCAAGAAAAUAAAUGUUGGAAAAAUUUUAAAAUUAUGAGAAAAACAUUGUUUAAUUAUUAUUUUUAAUCUGAAAGUUCAAAAAUUUUAAGGUGUGGCAGAUACCCUCAGGUUUACAGAAUUUGACAUCCAUGUGCAAAUUGGAUGUAUCCUUCAAUGAUCUGCAAGGUGAAGUGCCAAUAGGGCUUUUUUUUUGCAAAUGCAUCUUACAUGUCGGUUUAUGGAAAUGAUCAGCUUUGUGGUGGAAUACGUCAACUUCAUUUAGCUCCAUUCUCCAUGUCCAGUGCAAAAAAGAAAAAAAAGGAAAUUUGUCGAAAACCCUUGUGAUCACCCUAACAUCAAUCAGUGCAGUUGUAUUCUCAGUUUCAGUACUUGCUGUAAUUGUGUUGAUCUGUAAGAAGCUUAGGAAAAGGCAUGAAAGUCAACUCAUAUCCACAACUGAGGAACGGUAUGAAAGAGUUUCUUAUCAUGCUUUGUCAAAUGGGACCAAUGGAUUUUCAGAGGACAAUUUACUUGGACAAGGAAGCUAUGGCAUGGUUUAUAAAUGUACUUUACAUGACCAGGGUACUACUGUAGCUGUAAAGGUGUUUAACAUAGAACAAUCUGGGACUUUUAGAAGUUUUGUCGCUGAAUGCGAGGCACUCAGAAGGGUGCAUCACCGUUGUCUCGUAAAGAUCAUCACUUGUUGCUCAAGCAUCAAUCACCGGGGUCAAGAGUUCAAGGCACUAGUUUUUGAGCUCAUGCCAAAAGGUAGCCUAAAUGGUUGGCUUCACGCAGAGUCUGACACACUUACCCCGACAGAUACUCUGAGCCUUGAACAAAGGCUACACAUUGCUGUCGAUAUCAUGGAUGCUUUGGACUAUCUUGAUAAUCACUGUCAGCCAUCAAUCAUUCAUUGCGAUCUCAAGCCAAGCAACAUCUUUCUUGCGGAAGACAUGAGUGAGUGCCCGAGUUGGAGGUUUUGGCAUAUCAAGAAUCCUUCCAGAAAGUGCUAGUAAAACCCAGCAAAAUUCGAAUAGCACAACUGGAAUAAGAGGCACCAUUGGUUAUGUUGCACCAGGUAAUGAAAGAGAUGGUUUUGGUAUUUGAAAAAUGUUCUUAGUUCUUAUGUAUACAUGAGCUGCUGACCUUUGGCUUUUUUUUUUCCAAUAAGAGUAUGGUGAAGGUUCUUCUGUCUCAACUCAAGGUGACGUUUAUAGCCUCGGCAUAUUGCUGCUUGAGAUGUUUACUGGAAGGAGCCCAACGGAUGAGAUAUUCAAUGAUUCUUUGGAUUUGCACAAGUUUUCAGAGAAUGCUCUUCCAGAGAGAAUAUGGGAUAUAGUUGAUCCGACAAUAUGGAUGCACACAGAUGCCUAUAACAGCACUAUAAGAAGUGGAAUUAAGAAUUGCUUGGUUUCUGUUGUUUCUCUUGGAAUAUCAUGCUCGAAGAAACAACCUAGGGAGCGGAUCCCGAUUCAGGAUGCAGCCAUUGAGAUGCACGCUAUUAGAGAUUCGUAUCUCAAGUUUGCCAGAUCUCUUUUGGUGGAGCAUGGAGUAGUAGCAACAACUCACAGUGAUUUCCCACAACAGUGAAUACAUAGGACUGAAAAUGGGCAAGAUGUCUGCAGGUGAUCAGUUUACCUGAAAUAACUGAAGAUGUAUGAAGCUUCAGCUUUAUAAUUCGUCCUUGCAUUUGUUUGCAUCAGAUAUAUGGAAGUAUAAAAUAAGUUUAGAAAAUGUUUCAAAAUAGAUUAGAUCAAGAGGUUUUACUUGUCGUCUGUAUGACACAUUUUUUGUAGAGAAUUCAGUAAUAUGUAUGAUUCAUAAUACAAUCAAUGCUCUGCAAAUUUCAGAUAGCACAAUUGGAAUAAAAAGCUCAUUCAUUGAUUAUGUUGCUCUAGGUGACUCAACUUAUUGUGAUGUUCACUGUAGAUUUCUCCAUGGUCCAAACGACCAUUGUGAUCAGUUAUGUUUAUGCAUUUUGUAGACUUGUUAAGUCUUUCCCUAACUUGCUGACAUAUCAGCCGGAGCAGAGCACUCUGCCAUUCUGCGCCACUCGCCUCUAGGCGGCGCUUGCCGCUUGGUGGCUGCGGUGGCGACCGGCGGCAUCCGUACCUGCUCUGUCGGAGGCUGAGGGGCACAAUUACGUCUUGGAGUCGCCACCGCGCGACCUUCGGAGCUCGCCCAUGCCUCGUCGGUACGAGCUCAGUCGCGCGGUGAAUGGCAUGCGCAUCUGGGGUCCCGUCAGCUGCAGGUGCAGAUGGGUAGAGAGCUUAGCUGCGCUAGGUCUUCAGAAGAUGUUGAGUGGGCUGGAUGGGGCUUUGCGGCUCUGAAUGGCGACGCGGGCAGGACGACGACGCUGGACGCGUGGGGAGGAGACGACCUGAACCAGGGGCAUUUCGGAUAAUAGUCGGAUCGCGAUCAAUAAUCGCAAUCCAAAUUAGGGGGCUAUUUACAAAUAAUAGGGGGUAUUCCGUAAAUAUUCGGUUCGCGAUCAUUAAUCGCGAUCCAAAUGAGGGGUUAAUUGAAAAUAUGAUGGGGGUGUCUUUUGAAAUUCCGGAUUGCGAUCCCAUCCUCCGCCGCGGCUCGCCGGAGCGCCGCCAGACGCCGGCCGUCCCUUGGGGUACCUCUUCUUCGUUCCGUCUGUCGGAGCCCUAAGACGCGGUCGGUGUUUUAUCUGACAAGGAACCCUGAAGUCCGAACUAACUGAAGAAAGACAUGAUGCUGACCUGGAAGAAGAAGACGGCCUCGCCAUGGCCGGAUGCGGCGCGGUGGAAGGACAGUGUGUUGGCGGAGCGGAUGUUGUCCGACGUGAACUCGCCAGCGGCGUGGUCCACCACAUUCCGUCGACGGGCGGUGCACUUGCUGUCGCCUGUCGGCUACUUCCAGGCAGUAGCUGAGCUUCAGAGUUCAGACAGGGUGCUUGUGCUUGCAACAAGUUCAGAACGAUGUCAUUGCUUUGAUGCAGAGGAUGGAGCAAACCGGUUGCAAAUUGGAUUCUGAUACAUAUAACUUAAUAUUGAACCUUUAUGUCGAUUGGAAAUAUGAGAAGGGGUGCCCCAAAUAUGGGAUGAGAUGGAGAGGAGUGGAUCAGGCCCAGAUCAACGAUCAUUUACUAUUAUGGUUCAUGGUCUUCAUUCCCAAGGAAAGCUUGAUGAGGCUCAACAAUGAAGUCAAGAGGGUUGAUCCCUGAACCAAGGACCAAGAUACUGGUGAAAGCUAUACAUAUGAAGAAAGAUGGGGCUGUCACAGAAGAUCAGUCUGUAAAUAUGACAGGGAAGAAUCUAAAACUGGAUCCACGAUCUAGACUAUUCCAUGUUCAUAAAUAGUUUGCUGUCAGAUCUUACUUCUAUAACCUGAACAGAGGAUUGCUGGGCACGUAUUAUGUGUCAAAAGAAUCUCUUCUACCAGUGUCCUGAUCACAAUGGCCACACCUUGGGCUACAAUAAAUCAUCAGCAAAGUGUGUUGGCAUUAUGUAUCCCAGAAAGUUUUGCUCAGACUUUCAAUGCCAGGGUAUGUUUUUUAUGUCUGAUAUGGAUCAAUUAUAUUGCAAGUACUGUAUUACACCCUCGUAUUAUGAAGGUUAUGUGAAAUAUGACAGAUGUUUGUUUAUUCAUUUGUUAUGCAUGGCUGUGUCUACUAUCUAGUUGUUGGCUUGUUGCCAACAUAUGCAGCAGCAGGUAGCUUCAGCCGCUCAGAAGCCCAAAUGAAGAAUGGUCCAGGCAGAAUAGCUAGUCUAGACCCAGAAAGCUUAGGACAUGUCUUGCCAGCCUGCAGUUUUGUACUCGUAGCACCAACCAUCUCCGGGUUCUGGCCGGUUAUAUACAUGGUCUGGAAUGGGCAUCCGCUGAUCGAUUGAAACCUUGAACUGCUUCCGUGUUUGUCUUUUACCAUCUAUAUAGUAUGGUUAGUCAACGGCAUGCAAUACACCCAUGCAUAUGAUUGCAGUAGGAUGACAUGGCGUGACCAGAACCCUUCUUUUGCCAGUUUUUUAUUCUUAUACACGGCCAACAACAGGGAGUUGCCGAUUGCAAUACACCCAUGCUACUAACGCAGCAGGGAGUUGCAUGCUAAGCAGUUCAGCGUAGGUGGUGAGUUCUCAACUCUGAUAUGGUUUAUGGAAGAACACUGUCACGGUGUCACCUAGCCGGUUGGAGGCCAACCUCUUACUAGGGACAGCAAUGGCCCUGUCCACUGUUUCGUGGCUGGUAUUAUUACCCCUAUGCAGUGAAUAUGACAUGUGGAUCUAUGUGUAUAUUAUGUCGCCAGAAGAACAUUAUAUGAACCGUUGAGCCACCUUUGAUUCUAUUAAUGUGUCAUGGUCAAUUGAUGUCAAACUCUAUUAUCUUCAAGUCUUAUUGUAUUGAUAAAAUCACGAUGCUGCUACUGCCAUUUUGAUGUUUAUAAAAGGGUAUUGAGAACCUGGUGGGUAUCCAUUCGAUGCGCAGGGGUGAGGGUGGGGAAAAAUGAGUGUAAAGGACAGGGAUACAGUAUUUAGAAAGAUGGGGCUGCCACAGAAGAUAGUCUCCAAGUACGGCAGGGAAGAAUCUAAAAACUGAUUCCUUGAUCAAGACUGUCCCGUAUUCAUAAAUAGUUCACUGACAGAUCUUGCUUCCAUAUUCUGAACAGCUGAUGCUGGGUACAUAGGAGGUUAACCGGUCAGCGGAUCGAAGGAAAAAAAAAUCUUGCCUGUCAGUGUCCACAAUGGCCUCAUCUUGGGUUAGAGACAAUCAUCCCUAAAGAAUCAUAUUGCCGGAUAAGGUUAUCAGUGAUUGGUAGGUGCAGAUCCAUGCUCAUCCUAGAAACAAGCCAGGGCUGAAUGCGCCACUCAUUUUAGGUGCUUGGAUGUUGUGACCGAAAUGAUCGUGUGUUUAAUGGAGUUUCCCAUAGUGACUAGCGUACAGGCUGUCCUCGUAUUCGAGAAAAAAAAUAAUGGGCGAAAUGUUUUCACCCAGGUAAUUGUUGCAUUGUAUGAAUAGGCUUAGUGGUUGGUGGGUGCAGAGUAUGAAUGUGCUUGUACUGUGACACAAGAAGAUUUAUCAUAUCUAUGUAUGAAUUAGUAUUAAAUCUGCUACAUAAAUAUCUUCUCUUAUCUCAUUGUAUGUGUAUAUAUGACACAGAAGCACAUGUAUAUCAGCAUUGUAGAGAGAGAUGAGAGAGAAGCUUAUCUGCUUUUUGGAGAUAAAUAUUCAAAUUGUGGUGUAUGAGAAGGAUAGAAUUAUUCUAUCAAAUUGUUUAUUCAACAUCUAAAAAGAUUCCAUGUUUAGUCAUCUAUAUCGGCAUUGUAGAGAGAGACUAGUGUUCAACUGGUUGGAAGGAUGAGAGAGAGAGGAGAGAGAGAGGAUGAAUAGUGUUCAGCUGGUUGGAAGGAUGAGAGAGAGAGAGGAGAGUUUCGAUGAUAGAGAGAUUAGUGUUCACCUGGUUGGAAGGAUGAGAGGGAGAUGAGAGAGUUCGGAUGAGGAGGUGGAGAGUUCGGAAGAGAGAGAGGUGAGAGUUCGGAUGAGAGAGAAACAGCUUAGAAGGAUGAGAGAGAGAAAGUGAUAUUUAGCUGGAUGGUGGAGACUUCAUAUAUUACUAACUAGCAAGGUGUCCGUGCGUUGCUACGGUGAAACGACGUUGCUUAGCACGCGAUGUUUUUUAUCGUGUCGUGUAGCGCACCAUAUUUUUUAUCGUGUUGUGUAACUUUUUUAUUUUAGUAGUAUUAGACUUUUCAUAUAUAAAGGGUCACGUGAGUGUGUCCAUAUCCCAACCGUGCGGAAACCGCUUGCCAUCGAACUUGUUAUCUCUUUCUCUAUCUUGAGAUUGGUAUGCUUCUACAGCAAUUCUGCACAAAGAAGGCCCCACUUCGCCCCGUUCCCGCCGUCCGGUUAGUCCCACGCCUACCCUCUCCCUCUCUGAUCCUCGCUGUCGGCUCCUCGAGGUCCAGGUCGGGCUUGUGAUGUAGCGGCCUGUUAUCCUUCCACCAUUGGAAGCGGGUAGUGAUCGCUGCUCUGUGAACCCUGCCUCACGCCGUUCCUACCACUCCAGGUCCAGUGAAGCCUGAGCUUUCGCUUGGACAAACAGCCACUACCAACUUGGAACGGGCAGGGCCAGCAAGGGCAUACAAUGGACCCAAGCCCUCCGCACCCAAACAUCCACACCACUUUAAUGCCUCCACUUGGGUUACAAGCCCGCGCAACCAAGCUCGGUGAGGAUGACUCGUGAGGAUGAACAUUUAAGUUGGUGUGGCGCUGCUUCAGAUGGCGAGGUGGUACUAAUCUAAGGAAUAGGAAAAUUUCACAUGGGUCCCACACCGCACCCAGCCCUAUCCUUAUCCUUUCUCAUCUCUCUAUCGUCCGUCCGGUCCUUAUCCUCUUCAUCUCAUCUCUCUCUCUCUCCCUAUCUCUCUCUCAAACUCUCUAUCUCGCCUACCCCCUCUUUCUCUGGAGAAGGCGGUGCACGGCUGGCCCCAGUGAUGGCCUGGGGGCGCGGGGUGCCAAUAGCGGCCGAGGGUUGUAGGGCUGCGGCGAGGAGCCUCCCAGCCGUGGAUGCGACGGCCUAGCCAUGGGCACCGGGCAGGCGGCUCUGGCACGACCGGCUGGGGCGGGCAGGGAGAGGCGAACAGCAGUGCUACGACGUCACGAAGAGGCGGACGUCGGGCAUGGGCGGGUGAAAGGGGAGACGGGGAAAGAAAGCUAGACCCACCUAUCAAUGCGUUAAUCUUACCUAUUAUUAAACAUCAGGGCCACCUCUCGUUGAUAGAAGUUGGACCAAACAAGAAAAAGUGGGCAGAAGUGUUCCUCACUUUAAUAAUAAUAAUAAUAAAGUAUAGAUAAUGCAUCCAAACAACAUUCGAAAUUUAAUUUUAAAAAAAACUUUCUCGGUACAUCCAAACAAGAAAAUUCAAUUGAAUUAAAUUCUACUAAAUCCAUUUCUUAUGGAAUCUAAUAGCUAGAAUAUGAUUCAUGGGAUGAGUUUCAACUCUAGGGAUCUAAACAUGCCCUUAGUUAUUUCUUAUGUAGCUCAAAUCAGAUGCAAGGUAUGUCCUAACUAAAAAACGUAAGUUACUUUGUGUUAUCUCGUGAAUCAGUGAUUAAUUACUUCCGAUCACUAGUAGAGAAUUGGCUUUCGAUGCGCCCCCUUUUGUCCCGGUUUAAAGUUGGCCCGGGACAAAAGGUUCACCAACCGAGACUAAAGCUCGGUCACUGGUGGGGGGCUCACCAACCAGGACCUUUUAUCCCGGUUGGAAAGGCUAGUGGGAAAAAAAGAUCAUGAGAGGCUUUUUAUCCCGGUUUGAAACACCAACCGGGAUAAAAGACCCAUCUAACUAUAUAGGGGAUGUUACCAACCAGGAUAAAAAGGGUCGAGAGCCUUUUAUCCCGGUUUGUAAUACCAACUGGGAUAAAAGGGGGUCAUUUAUCCCGGUUGGUGUUUCAAACCGGGAUAAAAGGGUCCCAACGAGGUGACUGAAACAUGACUAAAUCCUGAACCCUUUUAUCCCGGUUUGUAAUACCAACCGGGAUAAAAGGGGGUCUUUUAUCCCGGUUGGUGUUUCCAACCGGGAUAAAAGGGUCCCCCACAAGUUAAUACAAAACGAUAACAUCCCCUAUAUAGUUAGAUGUGGUGUGUAGGUGGGAUGGCAAGGAAGCUACGCGCGAGGCUGGAGGUUGUGGGUUCGAAUCCCAUGCAGCGCGCACGCGCAUAUUUCGCGUGGAAAAUCGCGUGACUUGCGACGCGCGUGUGGGGGGCCUCCUGGGAGCUCGGAAUUUCUUUUUUUUGUUUUAUCCCGGAUGGAUUUUCGGAAGAUUUGCACCCUACCAAUCGGGACUAAAGGUCAAUUCUCUACUAGUGAAUCUUAUGUAAAAAGAACUACGAGUUAAAUUCUUUGUCAGAUUUAUACUGACAAGUUACAAGCACAUGCCUCUGCAGUAACAGGCCAGCCCUAGACUAGCGGGCAAACAAAAACAACAUGAUUCGUCAACUGAUCGAAUGUUAAUGACUAUUUUGCUAGGAGAAUGAACAUGAUUCAUAAAAAAAGGGGAGCUACUAACUUGGUCAAGGUCUCCGUCCUCUAGCGUGGCGAAGGGGCCAUCUUGCUCCACUCCACGUCUGCGUGGUUGCUAGGUGGGCGCGACGGCGGCUGCGGAGUGCGGACGGGCGCGUAGAUGUGUCAUUGUUGAUCAGGACAUGCGCUUCUAUCACCGUCUGUGGUUGGCGUCCGCGGCCGAGCGGGUCAAGGUCUCCGUCCUCUAGCGUGGGGAAACAGGAUCUCUUCAAUCAGUGCUUCUACAGAAACGGUGCACGGUCACCACGGACCAACGACAUACCAUGAGAAAAGCGGAGCUAAAUGUUGCAGUAGCAGAGUAACCGGAGACUGGAGAGCACUUGCUGCUAAAAGCUGCCUCUUAUUUUGUAUCGUCUUUAACAGAAGACUUUAAGUCAACCGCCAUUCGAUUCCAAUAUAAACUAGCAAGUUGGCCCGCGAUGAUAGCACGGCUAGAUUUGAUACAAUAUAACUUUUUUAAAUGCUAUGUUAGCUUAGUAUAUUUCUUCGUCCCUCUUGAUUUGUUUUUCAUCCUCUUGAAAUCACUUAGUAUACUUAGGUGCCUUACUCUACACAUUGAGUAUCAAGCCAUAUGUGUAUAUUUGUUUUUUUUUGCAAAUGAACUCCGAUGCCACAUGUGCAUAUGCACGCCUAAUUAAAAUUGCUCACUUGUAACAAAAUAACAAGAGUAGUUGAUUCUGAUCUUAUGUUGCAGUUUUUGCCAACUUUUCCUAGUAUUAUUGUGUUGAGUAGAAAGCCUGUGUAGAAAAAGAUACAAAACAAACAAUCGUGUUAACUACUCCCCAUACUUGCUCAAAUGAUUUUGAAAAAUAAAAACAACCGCGCUCUAAGUCCUAGGUGGUGAUAUUCCUCCUUACUUUCCUCCUCUCGUUUUCCUUGCACAAUCGAGGAUGACAAAUACCACAAACCACUUAGGCUCGAUCAUGUUUCAUCAUCACAUUCCUCAAAUCUUGAUCACGUUGUUGUCUUCAUUAUGCUAGCAGUACACAUCUCUCCGCCUCUUCUCACUGGUAGAGAAUUGGCCUUUAGUCCCGGUUGAUAGGGUGCAUAUCUCUCGGAUAUCCAUCCGGGAUAAACCAACCGGGACAAAAGGGAGGGUCUUUAGUCCCGGGUCUUUUAACCGGGAGUAAAGGUCCUCCUUUAUUUCCCAACCGAGACUAAAGGGUUACCCUUUAGUCCCGGCUGGAUUCCAACCAGGAGUCCCGGCUGGAUUCCAACCGGGACUAAAUGGCGCCUGCAUGGCACUGCCGUGGCGCCUGAAUUUUUCAUGCAUGCAUCACGUACGUAGUACCGCGACCCUUUUAAUUUGUUAAACUUUAGUAGUUGAGAUUUUUUUAGAACGAAAUCAACUAGUAUUUAAACGAAUGGGAUUUGUAAUUAUACAAUUACUAUAUAUGUACACAAUCCUUAUACACAAUUCAUAUACACAAUUCAACUAGCUUAGUACAAAUUGAUCAUAAUUAGCGCGUAUUAUAUAUACAAAUAAAUCAAAGUAUCUGUCUACAAUCUUCCCGUCGUGGUGUUGCUGAUCGGAGUGUCUAAUUGUCGUCCAUCGUAAUAAAAUUCUCCUUUUGGAUUUACCACCUUGUCCAUUAUGAAUCCAAUGAGACUUUCACAUAUUGCCGCUACUCUUUCUUCCUUCAAGAGUCCUUGUUGAAUAUUUAACAUCUAUAAUUUGGAAAUUUUUGAAUGUUACACGAACAAAUACAUAUAAGGAGCUAGAAAAUAAUUAACUAGUAAUAGUUUUAUUUUACGUACUUUAAAGUUGUGCGGCGUCAUCUUCGGUCCCUUGGGUCCCAUAAAACUGUGCAUGUGCUCACAGAUGUAGUAGCCACAUAGAUUAUUUCCGGGUUCCUGUCUUAAGCACUUCAGUGCGGAAAAAAAUAAGUUAUGAAAUAUUCGUAUUAUACAAUGUAAUAAAUGUGCAGACUUCAUACGUACCGGGAAGUCUGUGUUCCAUGUAAGUUUUUCUUUGAAUGGACCUUUGUGUGUCCUUAUGAAUUGUUUCCAUGCGCUGCAGAUUAGAAUAAUGAAUGAUAUAGUGUAACAGGAAUAAAAUUUAGGAAAUAAACUUUUGCAUAUAGAUAAAGGUACAGAAUUAUUACAAGCCUAGCAUGUCUUGCACUUCUUGGUAGUCCACCGGAUCUUUCCUUAACGAAUCGAAGACAGUGACGUGGCUUCUUUCAGGCUCAAUUAUAAUAAGAAUCCAGUGGAAGCUGCGUGCGUAAAAUGUUCAUGCAUAUUAGAGCUAACUAACAUGUAGAGAUAAGGAAAAAGACAUCGAAAGUAGACGGUAUACACACACUUACUUGAAGUUGUAUGGAAGUAGUAUGAAAUCCUUGAAUGUUUGUUUGUCUAGGAAAUUGUAUAUUUCCGCAAAGGUUUUUUCCGGUGCUAAUUGUGUCUGUUGUUGGUUAACUACAGAUGGAUCCAUGAAGCCUACAUGUAGGUACGCCUCUCGGCGGCAUGUCUGAAUUAGCAUCCUACAUGAAAUGGAAGAUGAAGUUAGUACGGUGACGCAUGCCAAAAUUUACAUGUAGAGAUAAACGGACACUUACAGAACCUAAGCGCUGAUCAGAGAGACGUCCAGGGCAUCAUGAUGGUACACUUCGUAUAUAUCCUUGAAGUCUAGCCACAGCACUUUCUCCCCUUCACCGUGAAAAUCUAUCGGUUUUACCUUCAUGCCGAUCAUCUCCCUCGAGUCGGCGGAUGCCAUCAUGUACCAUUGAUGGAAUGCGUACAUCUUUGUUGAUAGCUUCCGUACCAAUGAAGGCUUUACUAGAGGUUUGCCUAGCUCAUAAGGCCAUCUCAGCUCAGGGGGCGGUGCAGUUGGCGUCUCAACUUGCCCUAUGCAUUCAUCAAGUCCCAGACCUGUUUCUUCCAUGAACUUCAAUACAUUUGCUUGUUGAUCCAAGGGCAUUGCUUUUACCCGUUGAGCAUCUUUUUUUGAUAAAUGGCUGAGGUCGGGGACUGGACCGCUGGAAGAUGACUUUCCUUUCCUUUUAUCCUUUUCAUCAGCCUUUACUAGAGCCCGUUCAUAGUUUGACAAGAGUGGUAUCCUUUUCUUGGCUCCUUCUUCUAUCCUGAUAAAAAAGUUUAAAUCUCGCCGACUUACUGGCGGUGGCUCCAUCUCCCUUACUUUUUUUUCUUCGGCUUGUUUCUUGAACCACUCACUGGCCUCUCGUUGGAUUUCUGCCCACUGUUCCGCAUGAGACAUUGCCUCCCAGCGUUCCUUACGAGUCACUUCAGGCUCCUUUGUUUUCUUCUUUCUCUGUCUUUGCUUGGGAGGCGGUGCUCGUGACUUCUUUAGUGGUGGUGCAGGUUCCUUCAAGGGGGCCGCUCUUGGUGCCGGCGACGGUGAUCGGGGAGGGGUGUUGUUAUUGUCGUCGUCGCUCCCAGCACCAGGAUGUAGUGGAGAUGGAGACCUUGAUAUAGAUGGAAGGGACGGUCCUGGAGCAGGAGAUGACGGUCUCGAGGUAUGAGGAGAAGGUCGCUGCUGGGGAUCUACGGGGAGCGGUCUUAAGGUCUGAGGAGAUGGCUCCGUGCUGGGAAUAAUGAUGUAGCGUUUUUGCCAUAGAAUAAUCCCAUGAAGCGCAUCUGCCAAUGUCUUUUCCCCGUCGCCUCCCGGGAAGUCGAGCUCUAGACCUUCAUACUAGGGAUCAACUAUUUGCUCUACGCAGACGCUGGCGUAGCCUGUUGGAAUUUCCAUGCCAUGACUGCUCUGCCCCGCCAGGGUUGCUAACGCACUCCCGUACGCUACCUGUACAUAUAGCAGAAGUAAACAAGUUGAACUCCGAUCUCGAGGCCUGGAUCAAUUGACAAGAUUGCAUAAAUAUUAUGUAUAAGUAUACCUUAAUAGUGAGGUUGCCGACCGGUGCAUGCAGCUCACAUGAGGUCCGUUGUGUGAUGGCAUCCACGGGGAACCGUUGCUCCUCCACGGGUAACCUGGGCGUCUGCGCAUCGGGGACCCCUGUAGAAGCACAACUGCUCAAGAGGCGUUGAGAAGGGCUGGCGGUGUUAGGAAUCGGCAAUGCUCCAGAUUGGGCCAACUCCGCAACUGCGUGGGCCACCCGCCGAUUGGUUUCAUCCAUCAUUCUUUGUUCUUGUGCCUGCACUUUAGAUUCUAGCAUCUGCCGCCAGCUCUCCUCGAUCUGUUCCUUUCUUCGCUUCCGGCUUCUGUACGAGGUGCUGUCGCCUCGGAAAGCAAACUUCCACGGAACCACCCCGAACCCUCGGCAACGUCCUGGGUGUUCUGGAUUACCGAGGGCCAAUGUGAGCUCAUCAUUUUCUCGGUCCACCUUCAACCUCCCAGCCUUAGAAUCUUCAAUGUUCUUCAUGAGAUGUUCGGCCUUCUCACGUAUUGUGUCAUUAAAAAUCAACGUCCCAUCCUCUUGGCUUAGGGAGCCUCCAUGAGCGUAGUACCAAUUUUUUGAUCGUUCGGGCCAUUCAAUAGUUGCAGGUACGAUUCCCCGUUCGAUCAGAUCUUGUUCCAUCUUCCUCCACUUGGGAAUUGCUGAGCCAUACCCACCUCGCCCCAAAUGAUGGUGGUAGCCCUUCUGACUAGCAUUUGCUGUGUUGGUCGUGAUCUUUUUCACACCGUCUUCACUCCUCUUAUAUUCAACAAAUGCAUCCCAGUGGUCCCUCAACUUUGGCCACGCGUUGAAGUCUAGAGUUCGGCCCUUCUUGAUGUAGUGGGUAUCCAGCAUCUUCUUGAAUGUCUGGAAUUGAGUAGCCAUCUUCUUAAGCGUCCACGCUUUGACAUCCUUCUCACUAUAUCCUUCGGGGAAUGUGAAAUGUCUCUUCACGUCUUCCCACAGCAUAUUCUUUUCUGUCUCCGGAAGGGCGUACGGAUUAGUGCUUCUGCCCUUCCAUUCUCUGAUGCUGAUAGGCACGUUGUCCCGGACGAUUGCCCCGAUCUGACUCACGUACUUCUUUGCUACUUUCUCGGGAGCAACCGGCCUGCCCUCUUCUGUCACUUCCGUGAUGACAAGCCUCCCUUCCAUCACCUUUGUACAACCUUGGGUCUUCUGCCCUUGUGUCGAUCCGGAGGGCUAACAUUUUAAGAUUCGUUAAUUAGUACGUAGUAGUAACAGUGGCGUGAAACAAUACAAGAAUGGUUAUAUAUACCUCGCCGGAACCUUCCGCCACGGCAAGUUGUUGCUGCGGCUAAUGCUCUUCAUUCCCAUCGGUGGACAUGUUGAGGAACAUGUCCGCCUGGGUGCCCUCUUCAUCCGUGUAUGAUAGUGGAACGUUCUCGCCACUACCAUCACCAGCGAUUAUCUGCUCCAUGAUAUACCUUGCGGUCUCAUUGUCUGCCAUUUCAACUAUUGAUGGAAACAUACAUGGAAUCAUACAUGACAGUCAUAGAAAUCGUCUUACUACAAAUUUCUACAAAGUCCUACAAAGUCCGGAAUCAUACAUGUAUAUAAUGAAAUCAUAAAAUAACAUGAAUCCUACAAAGUCCGGAAUAUUUCUACGAAUUUCUACGAAUUUCUACGAAUUUCUACGUUCUAUGAAUUUCUACGAAUUUCUACGAAUAUCCACAUGCGGUGCCUAGGUUGUGACGGCGGCGAUCAGGGCGGCGGAGGCGGGGACGGUUCCCUGGAACCACGGGCGGUGCCUAGGUUGUGACGGCGGCGGUCAGGGCGGCGGUACGGCGGAGGCGGGGACGGUUCCCCGGAACCACGGGCGGUGCCUACUAGGUUGUGACGGCGGCGAUCACGGCGGCGGGACGGCGGAGGGGACACAUAUACAAAAAUAUAACUUAAAAAAAAUCUAACUUAAAAAAAAAUCUAACUUAAAAAUCUAACUUAAAAAUCUAACUUAACAAUCUAACUAAAAAAUCUAACUUAAAAAUAUAACUUAAUUUUCUAACUUAACAAUCAAAAUUAAAAAUCUAUCAUAAAAAUAUAACUUAAUUUUCUAACUUAAAAAAAAAGCCCUCCCAAUGCUGCCGGCCGGCGCGGCGGCGGACCUCUCGCGCGCGGUCGUCGACGGUGGCCGGGGCGACGAGGGGGCCGGGCGGCGGGACGGCGGCGGCCGGUGCGGCGAGGACGGCGGCCGAGGCGACGACGACGGCGGCGGCGUAGGCGGGACGGCGGCGGCGUAGGCGGGACGGCGACGAGGGGCGACGAGGCGGUGACGAGGAUGGAGGCGGUGACGAGGAUGGAGCCGGCGACGAGGAUGGAGCCGGUGGCCGGAGGCGACGAGGUGGGGGCCGGGCGCGUCGACGGACGAGGAGGAUCGAGGCGGGCCGGCCGGGGGGAUGGAGGACGACGAUGUCUGGGCGCGAUCGGCGGCAGGACGACGACAAACGGCGCAAUGGGGGAUGACGACGGCGGCGGCCGGCGAGGGAGGCGGACGGGCGGCGACGGCGGAGCAGAACGCGUGGAACUUGGCGAAAAUUUUGCUAAGUGUAACUGGCGGGGGGUAGAAGGGAGUACAGUGCCUUUUAAACCCCCCCCUUAUCCCGGUUCGUAAUGGUACCCGGGACAAAAGGGUGCCCCCGCCAGGUGGGGCUGGGAGCGUACCCUUUUAUCCCGGGUGCCACCACCAACCGGGAUAAAAGGGGGGGGGCCUUUUAUCCCGGUUGCAGUUGGCAACCGGGAUAAAAGGGUACGUCCGGGCGGGAGACGAAAAGUACCCUUUUAUCCCGGUUGCCGUUUGCAACCGGGAUAAGCAACCGGGAUAAAAGGGGGCCUUUUGUCCCGGUUGCUGUUAGCACCCGAGACAAAAGGUCUUUUUUCCUAGUUUUCUUCUCCCGCCUGUUUUUUGAAAUGGAUUUUAUUUUAUCUUUUCACUACAUUUCAGGAUGAAAAACAAAACCUUCACAGAUUUUGUACAUGCAAAAAUAUAUUUAAUUAACAAGUAAAUUGACAAUAAGUAUGAAUUAAUCAUUAAUUCUAUACCAGUUCAUUUAGCCUCUAAAAUAUUUAUUUUACUGCGUUGCUGUGAUUAAGAAAUUAUUCAAUUAAAUAAUUUCAAUGCGUAGAAAAAUCCAUGUUUGUAUGUGGUUAACAUUGUUCAUGUUUAUCUAAAAAAUCUUCACCUAACAAAUUUAAGAACACAUGAAAUCAUACAUAGGGUAAAAUUACAAAUUGUAUCGAUUAAUACACAAAGGUCAUGUACAUUUAACGCAUUACAAUACAACGUUGUAAAAUUUCUUCUUCACGAAAGUUCCUUGAUCAUGAUCGCGACGUAAGUACGGAGCCUCUUCUUUGGAUAGCAGGAUGCUUGGAUCAACUUCAACAGCGAAUGGAGGCAUGCCAUCAAACUGAUCAUAAUCAUCUGAUUGGUCUGUUUUAUCCUCGACUCCCACGAUUUUUCUUUUACCUGGAAGAACUAUGUGGCACUUUGGCUCCCAUGUCUCUUCUGGAUUCCUCUUGGGUUUGCUGCACAUGUCCUUCACAUAGAACACCUGAUCCACAUCAUUGGCAAGUACGAAUGGGUCAUCACUGUAUCCAGUCUUGCUCAGAUCUACUAUUGUCAUUCCAUACUGAUCUUUGGUGACGGUAGUUAGCUUCACCCAAUUGCAAAGAAAUAGAGGGAUGUACAGCGGUCCGUAUUCGAGUUCCCAUAUCUCCUGUAUGAAACCAUAAUACGACUCCUUGCUAUUAUUUCUGUCCAUGGCAUCUAUGCGGACACCACUAUUCUGGUUUGUGCUUUUCUGGUCCUGGGCUCUCGUGUAAAAUGUGUAACCAUUUAUCUCAUAGCCUUGGAAUUUGACGAUUGUGCUAGCAGGUCCCCUGGCUAACUAGGCAAGCUGUGGGUGAAUCUCAGAGUUAUCCAUAAGUUGUUGGCGCAACCAGGAGGGAAAAGUUUCCAUGUGAUGACGGGUAAGCCAAGCAUCGGAUUUGGUCGGGUUUUUUGAAGCUACUAUCUGUCUGUGCUGCUCGAUAUACGGAGACACAAAGGAUGACUGUUGUAGAACAGUGUAGUGUGCCUUGUCGAACAAAUCAGUAUCAUUGCUCAAACUUGAUUUCCUUCCAAGGGUGCCCAUUCCUCGGAGCCUCCCCUCGUGGCGUGAAGUUGGAACCCCAAUCGAGUCAAUUGAAUCAAUAAAAUCAACACAAAACUCGAUCACCUCCUCUGUUCCAUAUCCCUUGGCGAUGCUGCCUUCUGGACGGGCACGAUUAAGAACAUAGUUUUUUAGGACUGCUAUGAACCUCUCGAAAGGCCACAUAUUGUGCAGGUAUACAGGUCCGAGAAUACCAAUCUCUUUUACUAGGUGAACCAGUAAGUGCGUCAUAAUAUUGAAGAAGGAUGGUGGAAAUAACAACUCAAAACUGACAAGACAUUGCACCACAUCGUUCUGUAGCUUUGAUAGCUUGGAUGGAUCGAUUGCCUUCUGCGAAAUCGCAUUGAGAAACGCGCAUAGCUUUACGAGCGGCAACCGGACAUUUUCUGGUAGAACACCCCUCAAUGCAACCGGAAGCAACUGGGUCAUCAACAUGUGGCAGUCAUGAGCCUUGAGAUUUGUUAACUUAUUUUGUUUCAUAUUUAUUAUUCCAUUUAUAUUCGAGGAGUACCCAGACGGGACCUUCAUACUAUUCAAGCAUUCAAACAUGCUAUCCUUCUCUUCCUUGCUGAGAGUGUAACUGGCAGGACGUAAGUAGUGCUGUCCAUUAUCUCUCUUUUCCGGAUUUAGGUCAUCUUGUUGCCCCAUGGCUUUCAGGUCCUGUCGUGCUUCCAAUAUAUCUUUUGAGGUUACAUAAACACCCAUGAAGCCUAGCACGUUCACGCAAAGAUUCUUCGUCAGGUGCAUCACGUCUAUUGCGUUGCGAACCUCUAGGAUUUCCCAAUAAGGUAGCUCCCAAAAUAUUGACUUUUUCUUCCACAUGGGUGCAUGUCCGUUAUCGUCGUUCGGAACAGGUUGGCUACCAAGUCCCUUUCCAAAGACUACAUUUACAUCCUUCAUCAUCUCGAACACACGCUUUCCAUUACGGUGUGCAGGUUUUUUACGAUGGUCUGGCGCCCCUUUGAAAUGCAUCCCGCUCUUUCUCAGCUGGUGGUGAGCAGGGAGAAAUCGACGAUGACCCAUAUAGACGACCUUCUUACAGUGCUUCAAGUACAUGCUGUCUGUGUCAUCUAAACAGUGGGUGCAUGCCCGAUAUCCCUUAUUUGUCUGUUCUGAAAGGUUACUCAAUGCAGGCCAAUCGUUGAUGGUUACGAACAACAAUGCUCGUAGAUUAAAGAUCUCUUGUCUAUCCUCAUCCCACACACGUACACCUUCUUCCUUCCAGAGCUGUAAAAGGUCAUCAACCAACGACCUUAGGUACAAGUCAAUGUCAUUGCCGGGUUGUUUUGGGCCUUGGAUAAGCGCCGGCAUCAUAAUGAACUUCCGCUUCAUGCACAGCCAAGGAGGAAGGUUGAACAUACAAAGGGUCACAGGCCAAGUACUAUGGCCACUACUCAACUCACCGAAUGGAUUGAAUCCAUCAGUGCUUAAACCAAACCUUAUGUUCCUUGCUUCACUUUCAAAGUCUGGGAAUGUUCUAUCAAUUGAUCUCCACUGUGCCCCAUCUGCGGGGUGUCUCAGCAUCUCAUCUUCCUUACGGUCUUCUUUGUGCCAUCGCAUCAACUUAGCAUUCGCCUUGUUCCUGAAUAAGCGCUUCAAGCGUGGUAUUAUAGGGAAAUACCACAUCACCUUCGCGGGAACUCUCUUCUUGGGAGACUGCCCCUCGACAUCACCAGGAUCAUCUCGCCUGAUCUUAUACCGCAGGGCUUCGCAGACGGGACAAGCAUCCAAUUUCUCGUAUUCAUCACCACGAUAGAGGAUACAAUCAUUAGGGCAUGCGUGUAUCUUCUGAACAUCCAAUCCGAGAGGGCAAAUAAUCUGUUUAGCUUCAUAUGUUGUGGACGGUAAUUCAUUAUUCUCGGGGAGAAUCUUCUUGACAAUGUUCAACAUCCCCUGAAAUGCCUUAUCGGACACACUAUUUUUUGUCUUCCAUUGCACAAAUUCUAGUGUCGUACCUAGUUUUUUAUGGCCCUGCUGGCAACCUGGGUACAACAAUUUUUGGUGAUCAUCUAUCAUGCGCUGCAACUUUGCUACUUCCUUCUCAGUUUUGCAAUCUCUGUAUGCAUCUCGUAUCACCUGACGAAGGUCAUCAGUAGGGCCAUUUUCUGCAAACUCAUCUUCAUCAGCCUCGCCCAUUGUAGUACCUACAAAAGCUUGGCCUGCAACCCAGUCCGGAAUGGUGUCAUCUUCCUCCUCCUCCUCGCCAUCUUCCAUUACAACCCCUAGUUCACCGUGCUUGGUCCAAACCAAAUAGUUAGGCAUGAAACCGUAUUUAAACAAGUGGCUGUGAAUAGUCCCCCAGCUUUCCUUUGAAUACUCCUUCCUGUUAUUGCAUUGGAAGCAUGGACACAUACGAACCUAUUCUCUGGCUUGUUCGCUUUUGCCAUUUCGAGAAAAUAUGCAAGCCAUCAAUAAACGUCUUGCUCCGCCUGUCUGCNNNNNNNNNNNNNNNNNNNNNNNNNNNNNNNNNNNNNNNNNNNNNNNNNNNNNNNNNNNNNNNNNNNNNNNNNNNNNNNNNNNNNNNNNNNNNNNNNNNNAACAUAUUGAAGGAGAAGGACAUACCUCCUUCUCGUCGGUAAAUCACGCGGGUUAGCCUCUGAGCCAGGUAUAUUGUCCAGUCGAUGCAGAAGGGAUCACAGUUGUUACCUAAGUCUAGUUUAGCCGCGGAGCUCAGCUUCAACCCGGAUUAAAGGUGAACCACCUUUUAUCCCGGUUGGAGCCUCCAACUGGGAUAAAAGGGUCCCGCCACCAACAGCUCCCCACUAGCCGUUGCAACCGGGACUAAAGGGGGGCCUUUAGUCCCGGUUGCAAUUACCAACCGGGAGUAAAUCUUCCCUCCAUUUUUGCCUACCGUGGCGCACCCCCUUUUGUCCCGGGCCAACUUUAAACCGGGACAAAAGGGGACGGAUCGAAAACCAAUUCUCUACUAGUGUCUAUUCCACAAAACCAUAAUUGUUCACCGGCUCCAGCAUUGCUGUUGCUCUCCACCAAUGGAGGAAGCUCUUGUCCUUGGCACCACCUUAUCCACUGACCAGCUGAAGUUAUCUGUACGUCCUAAGGUCUCAUAAGAUUUUUGAUGAAUUUGCAUUAAUACUAAUAUUGCCACCAAUCUAGUCUCAACCUUGCCUCGUGUUCUCCGUGGUCAUGUUUUAUUCUAACUUGCAAGCCCUACAACUACAUAUGAUGGUUCUUCUAUAUGCAUAAUAUAUCGCAUCUCCUAAGACAUAUCGCGGGCCGGCGGCGCGCGGGGGAGCGGUGCCAGCAGAGCGGAGGCGACCGGCGGUGGGCAGAGGUGGGUGGGUGCGGGUGCGGGCGAAGGCGGAGGAGCAUGUGGGCAGAGGCGGGUGGGCGUGGGCGGAGGCGGAGGCGGAGGCUGGCGUGGGCGUGUGCGGAGGCGGAUGGGUGGAGGCAUGCAGCGGCGGUGGGCAGAGGCGGGCGGGCGCAGGUGAGUGGCAGCUGGGCCAGCGGCGUGGGCGGAGGCGGAGACCGGCAGCGGUCGGGCGGCGCGGGCGGGCGGCCGGCGAGCGUGGCGCUUCUUUUUUUUUCCAAAUUUUUUAGUCCCGGUUAGUGGUUGGUAACACCAACUAGGACUAAAGGGGGCCUUUAGUUCUGGGUGGAUGACCUGGAACUAAAGACCUCCUUUUUUAUCUCGAAAAAUUUAUCUCGGACGGCUUUUAGAGAGAUGUGAGCGUAUCCAAUUGGGACUAAAGGUGAGUUUUCCACCAGUGAAUGCAGAGCAGGCUCAUCCUAAAUGGUGACACCAUGCUGAUCACGCAAUUUAUCAUUAUUUUAUCGACCUCAUCCGUGUUUGUCUUUUACCAUCUAUAUAGUAUGGUUAGUCAACGGCAUGCAGUACACCCAUGCAUAUGAUUGCAGUAGGAUAACAUAGCGCGACCAGAACUGACGCAGUUUGCCAGUUUUAGAUUCGUAUACACGGCCAACUUACGCAGCAGAGAGUUGCAUGCUAAGCAGUUCAGCGUAGGUGGUGAGUUCUCAACUCUGAUAUGGCUUAUGGAAGAACACUGUCACGGUGUCACCUAGCCGGUUGGAGGCCAACCUCUUACUAGGGACAGCAAUGGCCCUGUCCGGCCACUGUUUCGUGGCUGGUAUUAUUACCCCUAUGCAGUGAAUAUGACAUGUGGAUCUAUGUGUAUAUUAUGUCGUCGAAAGAACAUUAUAUGAACCGUUGAGCCACCUUUGAUUCUAUCAAUGUGUCAUGGUCAAUUGAUGUCAAACUCUAUUAUCUUCAAGUCUUAUUGUAUUGAAAAAAUCACGAUGCUCUGCUACUGCCAUUUUGAUGUUUAUAAAAGGGUAUUGAGAACCUGGUGGGUAUCCAUUCGAUGCGCUGGGGUGGGGGUGGGGAAAAAUGAGUGUAAAGGACAGGGAUACAGUAUUUAGAAGGAUGGGGCUGCCACAGAAGAUAGUCUCCAAGUAUGGCAGGGAAGAAUCUAAAACUGAAUCCUUGAUCAAGACUGUCCCAUAUUCAUGAAUAGUUCACUGACAGAUCUUGCUUCCAUAUUCUGAACAGCUGAUGCUGGGCACAUAGGAGGUUAACCGGUCAGCGGAUCGAAGAAAAAAAAAUUCUUGCCUGUCAGUGUCCACAAUGGCCUCAGCUUGGGUUAGAGACAAUCAUCCCUAAAGAAUCAUAUUGCCGGAUAAGGUUAUCUGUGAUUGGUGGGUGCAGAUCCAUACUCAUCCUAGAAACAAGCCAGGGCUGAAUAUGCCACUCAUUUUAGGUGCUUUGAUGUUGUGGUCACACCGAAAUGAUCAUGUGUUUAAUAAAGUUUCCUAUAGUGACUGGCGUGCAGGCUGUCCUCGUAUUCGAGAAAAAAAAUCAAUGGGCGAAAUAUUUUCACCCAGGUAAUUGUUGCAUUGUAUGAAUAGGCUUAGAUACCUGGUUAGAGUAUGAAUGUGCGUGUACCGUGACACAAGAAGAUUUAUCAUAUCCAUGUAUGAAUUAGUGUUAAAUCUGCUACAUAAAUAUCUUCUCUUAUCUCAUUGUAUGUGUAUAUAUGACACAGAAGCACAUGUAUAUUGGCAUUGUAGAGAGAGAUGAGAGAGAGAAGCUUAUCUGCUUUUUGGAGAUAAAUAUUCAAAUUACUGGUGUAUGAGAGGGAUAUAAUUAUUCUAUCAAAUUGUUUAUUCAACAUGUAAAAAGAUUCCAUGUUUAGUCAUCUAUAUCGGCAUUGUAGAGAGAGACUAGUGUUCAGCUGGUUGGAAGGAUGAGAGAGAGAGGAGAGAGUUCGGAUGAGAGAGAGACUAGUGUUCAGCUGGUUGGAAGGAUGAGAGAGAGGAGAGUUUGGAUGAUAGAGAGAUUAGUGUUCACCUGGUUGGAAGGAUGAGAGGGAGAUGAGAGAGUUCGGAUGACGAGGUGGAGAGUUCGGAAGAGAGAGAGGUGAGAGUUCGGAUGAGAGAGAAAGCAGCUUAGAAGGAUGAGAGAGAAAGUGGUAUUCAGCUGGAUGGUGGAGACUUCAUAUAUUACUAACUAGCAAGGUGUCCGUGCGUUGCUAUGGUGAAACGACGUUGCUUAGCGCGCGAUGCUUUUUAUCAUGUCGUGUAGCAUACCACAUUUUUUAUCGUGCUGUGGAACUUUUCUAUUUUAGUAGUAUUAGACUUUUCAUAUAUAAGGGGCCACAUGAGUGUGUCCAUAUCCUAACCGUGAGGAGACCGCUUGCCAUGGAACUUGUUAUCUCUUUCUCUAUCUUGAGAUUGGUAGGCUUCUACAGCAAUUCUGCACAAAAAAGGCCCCACUUCGCCCCACUUCGCCUCGCUCUCGCUGUCCGGUUAGUCCCGCGCCUACCCUCUCCCUCUCCGAUCCUCGCCGCUAGCUCCUCGGGGUCCAAGUCGGGCCCGUGAUGUAGCGGCCUGUUAUCCUUCCACCGUUGGAAGCGGGCAGUGAUCGCUGCUCUGUGAACCCAGCCUCACGCCAUUCCUACCACUUCAGGUCCAGUGAAGCCCGAGCUUUUGCUUGGGCCGAACAGGCCACUACCAACUUGGAGCAGGCAAGGCCAGCAAGGGCACACAAUAGACCCAAGCCCAGAGUCCACACCCAAACAUCCACACCACCUUAAUACCCCCACUUGGGUUACAAGCCCGCGCAACCAAGCUCGAUGAGGAUGGCUCGUGAGGACGAACAUUUGAGCUGGUGCGGCGCUGCUUCAGAUGGCGAGGUGGUACUAAUCUAAGGAAUAGGAAAAUUUCACGUGGGUCCCACACCGCACCUACCCCUAUCCUUAUCCUUUCUCAUCUCUCUACCGUUCAUCCGGUCCUUAUCCUCCUCAUCUCAUCUCUCUCUCUCUCUCUCUCUGUCUCUCUCUCCCUCUCUCGCUCUCAAACUCUCUAUCUCUCCUAUCCCCUCUUUCUCUGGAGAACGCGGUGCACGGCUGGCCCCAGCGGCGGCCUGGGGGCGCGGGUGCUGGCGGCAGCCGAGGGUUGCGGGGCUGCGGCGAGGAGCCUCCUGGCCGUGGAUGCGACGGCCUAGCCACGGGUGCCGGGCCGCAUCGCACCGCGCGCUGCUGCCACCGAGUAGGCUGCACGCACUGCCUGCACACCAGGCGGGGUGGGCGGCCAGGGCCGAGCGGCGCGGCCGGGGCCGGGGAGGUGACUCUGGCGCGGCCGAGGCGGCUUGGGCGCGGCCAGCUGUUGUGGGUAGGGAGAGGUGGACAGCGGCGCAUGGCGGUGUGGAGAGGCGGACGUGGGGCACGAACGGGUGAAAGGGGAGACGGGGAAAGAAAGCUGGACCCACCUAGCAAUGCAGCCGGGGCCGGGGCCAGGGUAGCGCGGGUGGCCGAGGCCGAGGCCGAGGCCAGGCGGCGCAGUCGGGGCUGGGGAGGCGGCUUUGGUGCAGCCAGCCGUGGCGGGCAGGGAGAGGCGGAGAGUGGCGCAACGGCGGCGUGGAGAGGCGGACAUCAGGCACGGGCGGGUGAAAGGGGAGACAGGGAAAGAAAGCUAGACCCACCCGUCAAUGCAUUAAUCUUACCUAUUAUUAAACAUCAGGGCCACCUCUCGUUGAUAGAAGUUGGACCAAACCAAAAAAAGUGGGCAGAAGUGUUCCUUACUUUAAUAAUAAUAAUAAAGUAUAGAUAAUGCAUCCAAACAACAUUUGGAAUUUAAUUCUAAGAAAAACUUUCUCAGUACAUCCAAACUAGAAAAUUCAAUUGAAUAAAAUUCUACGGAAUGCAUUUCUUAUGGAAUCUAAUUGGUAGAAUAUGAUUUAUGGGAUGAGUUUCAACUCUAGGGAUCCAAAUAGGCUCUUAGUUAUUUCUUAUGUAGCUCAAAUCAGAAGGAAGGUACGUCCAAACUAAAAAACGUAAGUUACUUUGUGUUAUCUUGUGAAUCAGUGAUUAAUUACUUCCAAUCUUAUGUAAAAAGAACUACGAGUCAAAUUCUUUGUCAGAUUUAUACUGACAAGUUACAAGCACAUGCCUCUGCAGUAACAGGCCAGCCCUAGACUAGUGGGCAAACCAAAAACAACAUGAUUCGUCAACUGAUCGAAUGCUAAUGACUAUUUUGCUAGGAGAAUGAACAUGAUUCAUACAAAGCAGGGGAGCUACUAACUUGGUCAAGGUCUCCGUCCUCUAGCUACUAACAUGAUUCAUACAAAGAAGGGGCCAUCUUGCUCCACUCCACGUCUGCGUGGUUGCUCGGCGGGCGCGACGGUGUCGGCUGCGGAGUGCGGACGGCGCGUAGAUAUGUCAUUGUUGAUCAGGACAUGCACUUCUAUCACAGUCUGUGGUUGGCGUCCACGGCCGAGCGGGUCAAGGUCUCCGUCCUCUAGCGUGGGGAAACAGGAUCUCUUCAAUCAGUGCUUCUACAGAAACGGUGCACGGUCACCACGGACCAACGACAUACCAUGAGAAAAGCAGAGCUAAAUGUUGCAGUAGCAGAGUAACCGGAGACUGGAGAGCACUUGCUGCUAAAAGCUGCCUCUUAUUUUGUAUCGUCUUAACCGAAGACUUUAAGUCAACCGCCAUUCGAUUCCAAUAUAAACUAGCAAGUUGGUCCGCGAUAAUAGCGCGGCUAGAUUUGAUACAGUAUAAUUUUUUUAAAUGCUAUGUUAGCUUAGUAUAUUUCUUUGUCCCUCUUGAUUUGUUUUUCAUCCUCUUGAAAUCACUGAGUAUACUUAGGUGCCUUACUCUACACAUUGAGUAUCAAGCCAUAUAUGUAUAUUUUUUUUUUGCAAAUGAACUCCGAUGCCACAUGCGCAUAUGCACGCCUAAUUAAAAUUGCUCACUUGUAAAAAAAUAAGAACAACUUGAGUAGUUGAUUCUGAUCUUAUGUUGCAGUUUUUGCCAACUUUUCCUAGUAUUAUUGUGUUGAGUAGAAAGCCUGUGUAGAGAAAGAUCCAAAACAAACAAUCGUGUCAACUACUCCCCAUGCUUGCUCAAAUAAUUUUGAAAAAAAAAACAACCGCGCUCUAAGUCCUAGGGAGGUGAUAUUCCUCCUUACUUUCCUCCUCUCGUUUUCCUUGCACAAUCGAGGAUGACAAAUACCACAAACCACUUAGGCUCUAUCAUGUUUCAUCAUCACAUUCCUCAAAUCUUGAUCACGUUGUUGUCUUCAUUAUGUUAACAGUACACAUCUCUCCGCCUCUUCUAUUCCACAAAACCAUAAUUGUUCACCGGCUCCAGCAUUGUUGUUGCUCUCCACCAAUCGAGGAAGCUCAUGUCCUUGACAUCACCUUAUCCACUGACCAGCUGAAGUUAUCUGUACAUCCUAAGGUCUCAUAAGAUUUUUGCUGAAUUUGCAUUAAUAUUAAUAUUGCCACCAAUCUAGUCUCAACCUUGCCUUGUGUUCUCGGUGGUCAUGUUUUAUUCUAACUUGCAAGCCCUACAGCUACAUAUGAUGGUUCUUCUAUAUACAUAAUACAUCGCAUCACUUAAGACAUAUAUCGCGGGCCGGCGGCUCAUGGGGGAGCGGCGCCGGCGGAGCGAAAGCGACUGACGGUGGGCGGAGGCGGGUGGGUGCGGGCGGAGGCGGAGGCCGGUGCGGGCGCGUGCGGAGGUGGAUGGGUGGAGGCGUGCAGCGGUGGCGAGUAGAGGCGGGCGGGCACGGGCGAGUGGCAGCUGGGCCAGCGGCGGCCGGGCGGCCGGCCGGUGAGCGUGGGGCUUUUUUUUAUUUUUUUUCAAAAUGUUUUAGUCCCGGUUCGUGGUUGGUACCACCGACCGGGAUUAAAGGGGAAGACCCCGUCUUUUGUCUCGAAAAAUUUAUCCCGGAUGGUUUUUAGAGAGAUUUGAGCCUACCCAACCGGGACUAAAGGUGAGUUUUGCACCAGUAAUGCAGAGGAGGCUCAUCCUAAAUGGUGACACCAUGCUGAUCAUGCAAUUUAUCAUUAUUUUAUCGCCCUCAUGCAUGCUGUGCAUGAUUGAUAUUAGUAUUGGGCAGCUUAGAUUCCUCAGCGCAUCAUGCUGCUCAGCCAUGGAGGUCAAGGCAUCAAUAUUGUCCAUAUCACAACGUCUCUGCUUUCUCUUGUUGUCCUCCCCCUUCCCUCUACAUUGCACCUUCUUGUUUUCCUGAUCCUAUUGCCAGUUUGUUGCAGCCAUUUAUGGGCACCUCUUUCGUCCAUUGUCCACUGUUGUUGCCCGCUGCCUCAGUUCUUCUCUAACCAAAGCGGUCGUAUCGCGCUGGUCGGUAGGAAGCCAUCGUCUCACAAAAGCAUCGUCGUGAUCGCCAAACCACAUCUAGCCGAUGCCGAACCAUACUUGCCAUCUUCUUUGCCAACUUGCCGCUAUGGAAGCCUCCAUGCAUCGCUCCUCGAGUCUAUCCUAUCUCUAUCAGCUCCUGUGGUAUCCUGUUUUGUUUUUGCCUCAACCACGAAGCCAUAGGUAGCUGGUGCUAAAUUGCAGGGCCAGCAACAGCUAUUUCCUCUCCCUGGCCUUGCGGCCAUGCUAUGUAUUUUUCUCUCUCAAAAAAAAUUCCAAUGAUUUAAUUCUAAUGUUCCGAUCAUGUGUGAUUGGUUUAUUAAUUAAAGUUAUAGUUAUACACGAGUAUAUUAUAAAAAAAUAAUAUAUAUAUAAGUUACCAUACAAAGUACAACUUCCAAUAAGGUGGAGAGGUUCGGAUGGAAUUUUGAUUCAACUUACUCUAUUCUAGAUAUUAGAGUUGUACUAGCAAAAUAUCCAUACAUUGCUAUAGCAAAAUAUCCGUACAUUUGCUACGGUAAAAGAUCAAUUGUGUUUUUCAAACUAAUAAUAUUUUUUAUUUUCAUCACUAAAGUUUUAUUCCACUUAUUGGAUGUCCACACAUUUAAUAGAAAACUAAAAGAAUUUUAACUAAUUAUUUCCUUCAACUCAAAUACCAAUUAAAUUAAAAUAUUUUUUUAUUCAAGCAAGAGAGUUAAAUCAGCCUCCGAUGGCCAUCGAUGAGGGGCUCUUUAGUCCUGGUGAGUAAUAUCAACCGGGACUAAAGAACCCCUUUAGCCCCGGUUGUAAAAGUUAGUGGCCUCGGGAUUCUGUUGGGGCGUUUUGUCCCGGUUGCAACUACCAACCGGGACUACGCUCCCCGCCUCCACACACACAAUGUGCGUGCCUCACUUUCUCUCCUCCCUCUCCUUAAUUCCAGUACCCAAGCCUCCUCUCCUUAAUUCCAAUACCCACAUGCCUCCUCUCCUCCUCCCUUCGGCCCCUGCCUCCUCUCCUCCCUCUCCUUCUCCUCCGCUAGAUCCGGCCAACCCCCAUUCCCUCUUCCAAGCUCCUCCCUCUCCCUCGACCGAGGCGGGCGGCGGGCGCAGGUCGGGUGGCGCGGCUGGGGCCGAGGCGGCGUGGGCGGCCGGGGGUCAGGGAGGAUGAUAGGUGGUUACGAGGAUGAUACCUGCAGACAAUACUUUUAGUCCCUCAAUUUUUUCUGAGAAUUGCACUGUGAGCUGCGCUUUCAUUUAUGUCACACCGCUCAGCAAAAAAAACGGUGCAAAUCGACCAAAAUAAAUGAAUAAAUCACACGGUUUAGACUGGUGGCAUCUGUAUGUUUGAUGAGUUUUGAAUCCCAACAGACCUCUGUUUGCUUAUCCAACAGGAGGAAAAAACUUUACUUACUAAAUCAGCUUUGCAUGCCAGGCUGCAAUUGUUAGAGCAGAAUUGGGUAAUUUGUGAACAUAAUUGAAUCAAAGUUUUGUCUCAGACUAGUAAUAGAAAAUGGUAAUGCUCCACAGCUAGAACACGUUCCUACACUAGUUUAAAAAAUUCCCUGAAAUUGGCGACAAUGGUCAAGCUCAAUGUCAAAGUCAAAAAUUCCUACACACGUUCCUACCAUACUUGGAACUUGGAAGGCCGCUGGUCGAUGUCAAAGUCAAAAACAGAAGCAGACAGCGACGUCUCACCAGAUCACGAAUCAGAUGCGAUGCAUGUGCAUGUUCAGCAAGACAUUGAAAAGCAAGCUCUGUCUGGCAGCAGCUCUUCAAUACGCUCCAGCCCAUCUCUACCAUGGCAUUGGCAAUGCGCGUCAUGAGCUUGCUUCCUGCCACCAUCGCCGUGAUGAUCGCAGCGGCCUCCUGGGGAGCGCACGGCGGUGCCAGCGACGAGGCCAGCGCGCUACUUGCUUUCAAGGCUGAGCUCGCCGGCAGCGGCUCCGGCAUGCUUGCAUCCUGGAAUGGCACCGCUGGCGUCUGCGGCUGGGAGGGCGUGGCGUGCACCGGCGGCCAGGUGGUGGCACUGAGCCUGCCCUCCUAUGGGCUCGCCGGAGCCCUCUCCCCGGCCAUUGGGAACCUCACUUUCCUGCGGACCCUGAACCUGAGUUCCAACUGGUUCCAGGGGGAGGUCCCAGCAAGCAUCGGCCGCCUAGCGCGUCUGCAGACGCUUGAUCUGAGAUACAAUGCGUUCUCUGGUACGCUUCCUUCCAACCUCAGUUCCUGUGUCAGCUUACUGCUGUUAGAUCUCAGCAGUAACCGGUUCCAUGGGCGUAUCCCUGUUGAGCUUGGAGACAAGCUAACAAGUCUUCAGAAGUUCUCACUGGGCAACAACAGCUUGACGGGUGCCAUACCAGGAUCACUAGGUAACCUGUCAUCCCUGAUCUACCUUGAUCUGACAGAAAACCACCUCGAGGGUCCGAUCCCACAUGAACUUGGCAGCAUGGGCGGCCUGCAGGUCCUUUUCCUCUAUGAGAACAGACUCUCCGGUGUGCUUCCACACUCCCUGUACAAUCUGUCCUCACUGAAAAACUUGGUGGUAGGAAACAACAUGCUGUCUGGAACCAUCCCUGCUGAUAUCGGCGAUAGGUUCGCCGGUAUGGAAGUUCUUGACUUUAGUAGCAACCGAUUCAGUGGAGCUAUCCCACCUUCGCUCGGCAACCUCUCUGCUCUCACGUUACUAAACCUUCCAGGAAAUGAUUUUAUUGGAUAUGUGCCUUCUGCUUUGGGGAAGUUGCAAAGUCUUACUGACCUGUUCUUGAGUGACAACAGGCUAGAAGCAAACGACAGUCAAGGGUGGGAAUUCAUCACUUCACUGGCAAACUGCUCCCAGCUUCAGUAUCUUGUUCUCGGCAACAACUCUUUCAGCGGGCAACUGCCUAAUUCAGUCGCAAACCUGUCAUCAACUCUGCAACAUCUUUAUUUGGGAGACAAUAUGAUUUCUGGGAAUAUUCCAAUAAACAUCGGAAAUUUGGUUGGUCUUACAGUACUUGAUAUGGCAAAUACUUUAGUAUCUGGACAGAUUCCAGAGAGCAUUGGUCAGCUAAGAAACUUGGUUGGGUUAGGCCUUUACAACACUAGCUUGUCAGGCCUCAUACCUUCAUCACUAGGAAAUCUUACACAGUUGAAUAAUCUUUAUUUAUACUAUGGAAACUUAGAGGGGCCAAUUCCAUCAAACUUGGGGAACUUAAAGAAUGUGUUUGCCUUUGAUCUCUCAACAAAUCGACUCAAUGGUUCAAUUCCUAUAGAGGUUUUAAAACUUCCUCGACUUUCCUGGUACUUAGACUUAUCAUAUAAUUCACUAUCCGGGCCACUUCCAACUGAGGUUGGUACCAUGGUGAAUCUUAACGAACUGAUUCUGUCUGGAAACAAGUUCUCAGGCACCAUACCAGCUAGUGUUGGGAACUGUAUAUCGUUGGUAAAGCUGCUGCUCGAUAACAACUUAUUAGAAGGAAGCAUACCUCAAUCUCUGAAGAACUUAAAAGGUCUUGCAUUACUGAACCUAACAAUGAAUAAGCUAUCUGGUAGUAUUCCUGAUGCCCUUGCUAGCAUUGGCGACCUGCAACAACUGUAUCUUGCACACAACAACUUGUCAGGUUCCAUCCCCAAAGUUCUACAGAAUUUGACAUUGUUGGCAAAACUGGAUUUGUCCUUCAAUGAUUUGCAAGGCGAAGUGCCAAAAAGGGGUCCUUUUGCAAAUGCAACUCACUUGUCAAUUGAUGGAAAUGAUGAGCUUUGUGGUGGAAACCCUCAACUUCACUUAGCUCCGUGCUUCACAGCUGCUGCGGGGAAGAACAGAAGGCGAAUGUCAAGGUCAGUUAUGGUCACCGUAGCGUCAAUCUGCGCACUUCUAUUCUUAGGUUUAGUAGUUUUUCUUAUCCAUUUGAUCCACAAGACGCUCAGACAAGGAAAGGAAAAUCAACUCAUUCCCACAGUAAUUGAUGAACAGCACGAAAGGGUUUCAUAUCAAGCAUUAGCAAAUGGGACUGACCAUUUUUCGGAGGUUAAUCUGCUCGGACAAGGAAGCUAUGGUGCAGUUUAUAAGUGCACUUUACAUGACAAGGGAAUUACCGCAGCUGUAAAGGUAUUCAACGUACGGCAAUCUGGGUCUACUAGAAGUUUUGUGGCUGAAUGUGAGGCACUGCGAAGGGUGCGCCACCGAUGUCUCAUAAAGAUCAUCACCUGUUGCUUAAGCAUUGAUCACCAAGGCCAAGAAUUCAAGGCACUGGUUUUUGAGUUCAUGCCCAAUGGUAACCUAAAUGAUUGGCUGCAUCCAGCAUCCAAAAUACAGAGUCUGAGCAAUACACUCAGCUUAGCUCAGAGACUAGACAUUGCGGUAGAUAUCAUGGAUGCUCUGGAUUAUCUUCACAAUCAGUGUCAACCGCCUAUUAUCCAUUGUGAUCUCAAACCAAGUAACAUCCUCCUUGCCGAAGAUAUGAGUGCUCGGGUUGGAGAUUUCGGCAUAUCAAAAAUCCUUCCUGACGACACUAGCAAAACUCUGCUGAAUUCAGUUAGCUUCACUGGACUAAGAGGUUCCAUCGGAUAUGUCGCUCCAGGUAACAGAAACUAACACUGAUAUUGCUAUGUUCAGUUUUUAACUUCCAUUUUGCCAAGUCCAGUUAUCUCGGCAUGCACGUUGAUAAGUAGCUUGCCAUGAAUCCACUGACCAAAUAGUGUCUGAAAUCUGAAUUGACUGCAGAGUACGGCGAGGGUCGCGCUGUCUCAACUCUUGGAGAUGUUUACAGCCUCGGCAUACUGUUGCUUGAGAUGUUCACCGGGAUGAGCCCUACUGACGACAUGUUCAAAGGCUCCUUGGACCUUCAUAAGUUCGCCGAGGCCGCUCUCCCCGACAGAGCCUUGGAGGUAGCCGACCCGGCAAUCUGGUUUCAUGAAGAAGCAAAGGGCGAAGACCCUGCCACGGUGAGAAGCAGAAGCGAGAGGUGC
rnacentral:lncRNA from 1 species